UAAAGAUGACGGUAAAGUCAAAAUAAAAAAUAAUUUUUAAUAGCAUAAUAUUAAAAUGAGUGUAUACAUAAUAAAAAAACUAUUAAAUUAUGUCUAUAUUAAAUAAUAAUAUAUUAUAAAAUUAAUAAUAAUUAAAAGGUAUUAAAAUUAUAUAUAUUAAAUGAUAAUUAAUAUUAUAUUUAUAUUAAAACGAUAUAAUAAAAAUAAUAGUAGUAAUCAAUAAAAAGAAAAAGAAUGUGACCCAUUAAAAUAUAUAGAUUGCACAACCAAAUUCUAAUACAAUAUCAUUUGAUAUUGAUUAAAAUAUAUCGUUAGUCCCUGGACUUUGACAAAUUUAAAAUUUAAUUUUCAUAUUUUUUGGUGAUUUGAAUAUUUCAGUCCAAUAAUUAAAAUUAUAAAUAUUCUUUUUUUUUAUUAAAAUUCGUUGUUUUAGAAUUCUGAUUAGGUUGUCUUUAUAUAGCGUGACAUAUAAUUGACAAAAAAUAAACAUGUUGAGUUGACAAAUAAUGAUAGAAGCAACCAUUGACGAUAAUGAUUGGAUUAGAAUUUUUAAAUUUAAAAAAGUAGGAGGAUUUCAUCUUUUUUAACUUUUAAAAUAUAGGGACUAAAUCUCAAAUUUUAUUAAAGUACGAAGAUUAAUAGUAGAUUUUAACCUUUGAUAUUUCAUAUAGUUAUAACCAUUAAAUUUUUAUAUGACAAUAGUUUAUCGUGUAUUUUCAUGCUUUGUUGAGUUUUUGUAUUUUGAUAUUUUGUUAGGUUGUAUUGUUUUUAUAGCAUCUCACAUUUAAGCUUCAUUUAGAUGAACGGUGAGAUUAAAAAGAGCAGUGGCAAUGAAAUUAAUUAUUGUAAUAGUGAGAGUAAUAAAAGCAAAAUUAGAAGUUUUGUUUAGGGGUUGAAAUAAAAUUAUAAAAUUUUGAAAGCUAAAGUUAAAAAUAUUAUAUUAAAAAUACUUAAAUUAAAUUAUUUAUUUUUUAGAAGGAUUAAAAUUUAAAAUUUUUAUUUAACUAAAGGAUUAAAAUGCUUAAAUUUAAUGCUUUCCUUAUAGGAGAUUAUUAUAUUGCACUUCUACCAUUUGGUAAGGGGAGCUAAGGCCUUGCCUUCCUCCAACGAUGUCUCUAGAUAGUGGUUAUUAUAAUGGUGAUAGGAUAUAUGUUUAGAUUUAAACACAGCGAUGACAAUGAGAAUAAACUAGAAAAUAAUCAUUAAAGAUAUUAAAUUAUAAUAUAUAUAAAUUAUAUUUAUGUUAAAUCAUAAUUAAAUAAUAUUAAAAGUAUUAUUAUAUUACAAUUAUAUGAUAUAAAAUAAUAAUUAAAUUCAUUUUUAUAUUAAAAAUAAAAUAAACAAAUAAUUAAAAUAAUAAUGAUGGAUGGGCUAGAAGAGUAAUUUUCCGCACCUCAAUGCAGGUGUGCCAAAUACACCCAUAAAUUGUGAUGCAUUUCAGUGAAUGGCAAUUUUAUUUUGGGAUGUUAUAUAAAUUUUAUUAGAUCAAUCAUCUAUCUCCGUUACGAGGUAAUUUAGUCGAUUGAGUCUUAAUUUAAUUGGCGUUGGUAUUAUUGUUAUUGUAGGAGGAUUUAGGUUCGAGUACGUCGUAGCACAUUAUCCUUCUAUUUAAGGAUUUAGAGGAGUUAUAGGUUGUUCUAGACAUUCUAUCAAAAAAAAAUACGAUAAAAACUUAUAACGAGUUUAAUAUUAAAAAAAUAAUUUUAAUACGUUAAUAAUUCCUUAGUUAUCUUAUUCAUAAUCGCAUUUAAAUUAAUGCAUUUUAUAAGUUUUGGUAUACUUUUGUAUAUUUUAUCACAAUAAUUAUUCGGUACACAAGUAGAAGAGCGGAUUGAGAUUAUGUCGCAUGUCUUAUUUAUUUAUUUAUUAAUUUUUUAAAUAUCUCUACCCUUACUUAUGAAGUUAAAUUAUUUUAGGUAUUCCAUAUAUAUAUAUAUAUUUAUAUUUAUACGUUAAUGUAUUAAUAUAUUAAUAUUUUGUAUUAUAUGAUCUUUUAGAUAUUUGUAUUUAAUAACUCACACAAUGUUUGUGCCGUGGUCUACUUCUUGUAGUGUUUAAUAUUUUUAGGUCUAGUUUUCUCCAAAUGUUUAUUUUGCUCCUCCUACCUAAGACAGUUUAUUUUAUCAUUUAAAAGCAUUAAAAUAUUAAUAAUAUUUAUAUUUUAAUACAUUAUAAUGUUAGAAUUAGAUUUAAAUAAAAUAUAUAUUUUAAAAAAAUUAAUGGCCAUCCUCAUUGAUUUCUUAGCAAGUUUAAUUUAACAUUAAAAAAUAUUAUUUAUUAUCGUAUUAAGUACUUACAAUCACUCCAAAUAUGUCGUAUUUGAGUUGUGGCAGAACUAAUUGUUAACAUGUCAUAAUGUUCUAUUGACACUGAAAUUAAACUUUUGUUGUGUUGAUAAGGUUUGUCUUUCACCAUAUACAAUAAGUGUUUGUUGUUGUUUUUUCGAAUUGUAUGAUCUCAUGGAAUCAGUUAAUGAAUUUCCAUCUCUUUUUUCUCUCAAUAAAACUUUAAUUUAAUGGCAAGAUUGAAAAUUUAGAAACUUUUAAGAUUCCAACUUUGAAUUUCAACUUAUUUUAUAUUUUAUUUAAAUAUAUUAUUUGUAAUUGCAAAUGAAUUAUUGAGUUGGGAUCAAUUUAAUUUCUUUCCAUUUAAAUUCAAAUUGAAUAACAAAUAUAUAUAAAUAUCAAUAGCGUAAACUAUAAAAAUAGUUACUUUUGUUUACCUUAGAGUACAUUUUAAUUACUUAUGUUUGAAAUGUUAUGUUUCAGUCACUUACAUUAUUGUUUUGUUAUGAAGUGAUCACUUUACCGUUAAACUCCAUUACCUCCCUGACGACAGUGCUACGUGAUAGUCUAAAUGAAUUUUAAAUGCCAACUUGGAUGUCUAGUUGUUGGGAUGAGAGAAGGUUUUUAAUUAAAUAAAUUUAAUUUAAACUACCACGUAAGACUGCCGUUAGGGAAAUAAGGGAGCUUAAGACCACUUGAUAACAAAACGAUAACGUAAGUGACUAAAACGUAACAUUUCAAAUAUAAGGGACUAAAAUAUAAUCUGAAGCAAACAAAAGUGACUAUUUUUGUAGUUUACCCAUAUCAAUAUAAUAUAAAAAAAAUUAAGAAAUAAAUGAAUGUGAUUAGAUUUUAAUUUCAGAAACAGAAAUGGAUAUGGUUUUGCAUUGAUUUAAGAUUUACUAAAAAGGAAAAGAAAGCAAAGAGUUAAAAGGGGUUCUUUUUGAAAGAUGAUGAAUUAAUUAGGCAGAAGCUUAUUAUAGUGAUGGAGAAAACCAAAAUGUAAAAUUUUUUAAAGCAUUUUCUUAAUUUGGCACCAACAAAUCACAGCAGUUGAAUUCAACGGUCAGUCCUUUUCUCGGAAAUUAAGUACUUUCCAUUUCCUCCUUUUUCCUUUCAUUUUCUUCCUUGUUCUUCCUCUCUCCUUCCCUCCCUCCCUCCUCAUCAUUGCCAAUCUCAAUUCUCCAUAAGGUAUUUUUUUUUAUUUUGGUAUUGGAUUGAAGCUUUUCAUUAUGAACAAUAUCUGGAAUUGUAUUUAAAUGUUCUUCUUAAUAUCGGGUUUUGGAUGAUAAAGCUGUUUUCAAUGGAUCUCAUAACUGGGUCUGGUUUUAAAUUCCAUGUGGGGUUUUUUUUUUAUUAAUAUUAAUGGGUUAGGUUUUAGGUCUUUGAAUUUUAUUAAUAUUAAUUGGUUAGGUUGAUGAUGAUGAUCCCCCAAGCAUUACACUGCACAUGUGAAUUGAUUGUAGUUUACUAUUUUGAUUCAAUUCUGAACUGUCUCCAUGUCCUCUUCAAUUUUUUGUUAUUAAGAAAUUCACAUUUUUUUAAAGGAAUAUGUUUUUGAUAUGGUUGCAAAUUCUUACAUUUUCAGAAUGGGUUUUGUUUUCUUUUUAUCUUGAUUUGUGUUGAAUGACUCGAAGCAAGGAACACCAAAUUGGCGAUUGUUUCGUGUGUUCGAGCAUAUGCAUUUGUGUGUGUUUCUAAUUUUAGUUGUUUCUAUACAUUUUUGAUAGUUUAGGAAGUUUGCUUAGCACUGAAUUUGUUGUUUUUUUUCUUUUGUCAAGGUGGGGCUAUUGCUGACUUGAUUGAUUGUUUCUUUAUGGCGUAAUCGUAGCUUGCCGCAUUGAAUUGGGGAUGGGAUUGUCAGCUUUGUAUUGCAAGGUUAAGAACUACUUUAUGCAUCAAUUAAGGCUUUUUGAUGUUCAUCCAGUUAUGAACCUUGUGGUAUCCUAGAGCAAUUGUUGUGGAAAUGGCUACAAACAGUACUUCACACCUUAAAAGGAAUUUGAAGGGCUUUACAUCGGCCCUAAAAUCUGCUGCUUGUGAAUGUUUUCUGAUUGUUCUGCUGUUCUUUUAUGCUGCCUUCUCGUACCUGCUGACAAGAUUUGCACAUUACUGUGGAUUGCAAGCUCCUUGCAUUUUAUGCUCUCGGCUUGAUCAUGUUUUCAGAAAUGAAAAACCUGGAUACUAUUGGAAUCUAUUUUGCAGCAACCAUAGAUCAGAAGUUUCAUCGUUGGUUUCCUGCAACAUUCAUGGCAAGCUGGUUGAUGGUCGUGGUAUGUGUGACAAUUGUCUCUCAUCAGACAUUGAGGAAAACAAAUCCAACUCAGAUAUACAGAGGGUUUCCUUAGAAAAUUUGGGGUUUGAACCUGCAUGUUUUGGAAAUUGUGAUUCCCGGAGCUCGUUUUUCAACAGGGAUCUUUCCCCUGCUUCUAAAAGUACUAGGUUUUGUUUAUGUUGUGAUAAGCCAUGGACUCCAAGAUCGAAUGCCCAAGGAUUACCCCCCCUAAAAUCACGUGGCGUUGCAGUUGCAAAGGCAAACUUUUAUUUGCCACGCCGCUUAAGACAUCGAAAUGGUCUGAAGAAGUCAAAGGAUAAGUUUUCUGCUCCAGCAUUGACUCAUAUAGGAAACACUGGAAUUGAUACAUCGCCUCAUGCAGGAUUCACUGAGCUGAAGAUCACUUCUGAAUCGGAGUCUGAGAUUCCAUUUUCUGAUGAUGAGGUUAGCAAUUGUAUGGUUCUUGAUAUGAACGAGAGUAAGAAAGAAUCUCUAGUUCACUCUGCUCCGGAAACUCCAUCUAAAAGACUGUACAACAAUUUGGUUAAAAGGAAACAGCCUGAUUCUAGUGAGCCUCAUGAUUUUAGAUAUUUUUAUCCCAAUGUCCAUAGUGAGAAUUAUGUCUGUGACCGUAAAGGACAGCUGGCCGAUAAGAAAACCAAUUCUUCAGUUUUGCCGGAGCUUAUUUCUCUAGAUGAUAUUCCUGCAUCAUCCUGCCUUGUGGGAGUUCCAAGUUAUAGUGCUUCGUUACUGUCUGAUCUUAUUUCUCUAGUUGAUAAGCCCCCUUCAGUUAACGUUAUGGAAACUCCUCUUGAAGCAUCAUCGCGAAAGCGUAAGUUAUCUCCCUUUCUGUGUGCAUAUGUGUAUGCAUGUAAAUGUUGGUCUUAUCUUAUAUGGCUUAAUGUCUUAAAUUUGCAAUGGCAGAUGUUACUGGUGCAAGUAAAAAUGAAAAUAUUUCUAUCAACAUGACCGACAAAAGCUUGAAGUCGAUAAGCACAUCAGCUGGAGCUGGUUUCGAAACUGAUCAAGUUGUGGAUGAUACUGCUGUGGUACAUUCUGCGCAUGAGGAUCUAAAUGCUGUGAAUACAUCACCAGUUUAUGGUGAAGAAAAAGGUGCCUCUGUGUUUGUUACGGAAGAACCAAUGCUGAGAUAUAAUAAGGGUGUUAGCAAAUAUCCAUCAUUGUCGGUUCAGAAUUCUUCUGGAGAAGGGAUUGAUUUAUCAUUUAACAAUGUAGGUUCUGAGUUCCCAGAUGACGACGACGACUUUGAGACAACUGAUGAAUCCAAUCCUUAUGGGGUUCAGAGUUUUGAUAAUCUAUUUUCUGCGGAAAGAAGUGAAUUUGGUAGCUUUGGAGUUAACGAAGAUCAGUCAUUGGCAGUUCAGAAUUCUUCUGAAGAAGGGAUUCAUUUAAGUCCUGAGUUACAAGGUCAUAGUGAUGACUUUGAGACAACUAAUGAAUCCGAUCCUUAUGGGGUUCAGAGUUUUGAUAACCUACUCUAUACAGAAAGGAGUGAAUUUGAUAUCCUUGGACCUUUGAAUGAAAGCACUUUCAGUGAAAUUGAAGGUGAAGAUCCAGUCGAUAGGCUGAAGCGGCAAGUUGAGCAUUAUCAGAAGUGCAUGGAUGGAUUAUAUAAGGAAUUGGAGGAAGAAAGAAAUGCCUCCGCAAUAGCUGCUAAUCAGGCAAUGGCUAUGAUUACAAGGUUGCAAGAAGAGAAGUCAAACCUCCAGAUGGAGGGCCUGCAUUACCUAAGGAUGAUGGAAGAGCAGGCAGAAUACGAUGGAGAUGCCCUGGAUAAAGCCAAUGAUCUUCUGGCAGAAAGGGAGAAAGAACUACAAGAUCUGGAAGCAGAGCUUGAAUUUUACAGAUUAAACUUCACAGAUGAAACACAGAUAGAGAAUUUAACUGGGGCAAGCAUCAACUUAAGCAACGGGCAUGUUUCUACCAAGACUACGAGCACAUUUUCCGUAAAAGAUGAUCUGAAAUUUCCCUCGAACACAAUGUUUCCCGACAGUGAUAAUCCUGUAGCCAAAUCUGCAUGGUCAGAAUUCGAGGAUGAGAAGUUGUACAUUUCUGAACGUCUGCGAGAUUUGGAGAGGAAAGCUAGCAAGUUUGCUCGUCAUGGUACUUUGCCACACAUUUCCGAUAGGGAAAGCUUGGAUGAAGCAGCAAAUGGAGGCCAACAUCAGCAAGAGUCCCUUGAUGAAAGUGCUCCUUCGCAAGAAUUGUCAAAUACUUCAGUAAGUGAAGAUCGAGUGGUUAGUAAGGGAAACAGUCAUAUGGUUUCCAAUGGGCAGAAGGGUUCUGAGAAUUGUAAUGAAACUGGUUUGGCCAGUGUUGAAAAUGAAAUUUCUGACCUUAACGAGAAGCUGGAAGCACUUGUGGCUGACUAUAAAUUUCUUGAGAAUUCUCUAAAAUCUCUUCAAAUUGGAAAUGAAGGUUUACUUCUUAUUCAAGAGAUACUUCAUGAGUUACGAGAAUUGAGGAAACUGGGGAUAAGGAGGAGGAACAUGUCUGCGUCAUGAGCAUUAUGUUUAUCAUUUCAUGGUAAGCAUUCUUUUAUAAAUGUCUCUCCGAAGAAAAUAGUCUCUUCUUGGUGUAGAUCUUGCACAUUCAGUAUAAACUUUUUGCAUGCCUUGACUGACUGUUGCGGAAAUUGCUUUAUGCCUCUCGUUGAUUAACACUGCCUCAUGUUUGUUUUGUUUCAAGUAAAUUGCUACCAUCUCAAGCUGAUCAUUUCUUUUUGGUUUUGUAACAAUGAAUGCUGUAUGGUCAUGGAUCUGCAAGAUAUAAUUAGAUUAACUAUGAAUGGUGCCACAUGUGAAAUGUGAGUUUUGUAGGAUUAAGAAUAGAAAAUAGGAAGCAAUGAAGAUAGGUAUUUGAGAGAUAACUGGAAGUGACUGUACCUGCAUCCUAUUUACCAUCCAUAAGAAACCCGGGUUUUGCAUCAUCAUGCUCGAACGUGCAUCAGAUGUUCAUAAUAUAUGCCAUAUUUAUUCUGAGGUUCUUAUGUAACAGAAUGAACUUCUACCAUUGAUCAUGUUAUCAAACUCAAUUUCAAUUUAGUGCUAUGCUGCUUCAACUCUUAAUUUUUCUUGAAAUACCUAUGAUUGACAUUCACGUCCGACAAAUAUCUAGAUAUUGAUAUGGGAAUAUUGACUGUAUCCAACAUGCACUUAAACUCGAGUAAUGCAAACUUAAUGCCUUGCUCUGUUUAGUUAAUCAGUUUUUCUUUGUUUGACAUCCUAAACCUUUGGUUGUAUAAUCAUGAUCGACUACAUGACAUUUAUAUUUCAGGUGCAGUCAGAUUGAGGGUAAACUGAGAACCAUGAAGUUUGAUUCAAGAGUUGCAGGAUCUCAGCUUACCACGAAAUUGUGAAUAACCAAGAUCGGUUUUACAUGCUAGCCACCUAUGUUAUCCCCACUCUUUAUUUAUUUUAAAGUAUCCGUAUCCGACAUUUGUAUUUGAUAUAUAUUCGGGCAUGGAUAUGAGGUUUGUUCCUACAAUGAAAAAAAAAUUUAGAAAGUUGAGCUUACUCCCAUGUCCGACUAAGAGUAAUAUUGGUAGGUGGGAGUAAAAGUGUAAAAGUAAUUUUUUUUUAUUGCUUCGGCAAGGGUUACAUUUGUGGUAUUUUUUUGAAGCAGUGUGAAUAGGUUUCAAAGCGGGUGAUUUUUUGGUCUCAUUUACUUCCAUUGAUUUUUUUUUUUUUGAGGUUUGUUCACAUUUCAUAGUAAGCCAAUCCUACUUCAAUUGGAAAUUCAGAACUUCUCAAUAUAAAUAGUUUAUUAUUUUCACAACUUCUUGAUAUCUUGUGCUGUUUUGAUUCUUGAUUCUAUUCCUUUUGCUUGAUAUCUUUAGUACAUAGAUGUAAGGAGAAUAGAUUGUAUGAAAUUGUGAUUCCACGUCAUCUCAAUCCCUUUCUAUAGGAGAAUGAAAAAUAAAAUUUUUACUCCUGAUUUUAAGUUUUUUCCUCUUGGAAAAAAAAUUCAAAUCAACUAAAAAUGCCAAAAAUCAGAAGAAGAAAAUUUGAUUUGUUAUUCUUCUAUUGGAAAGGAAUAGCGAUGAUGUGGAAUCACAGUUUCAUGCAAUCCUUUCUCAAAUGUAAGAUGCUCUAUGUAUAUAAAAAUUGUUUAGAAAAGAUCCAACAUAUUUAUUUCCGGAGUGAGCAUAAUCCGAAUCGAUAUUAUUAUAAAUAAAUUUUCAACUACAACCAUUGUGCAAUGGUUUCAAAGAGAGAAGUCCUUGAAAUUGGUCACAUAGGUGGCUAAUCUCAGUCAAAACAAUCUCAAAGUAAACAAAACAGCAAAAGAGAAGUAGAAGAAACACAAGAAUUAGAACCACCAAAUGCUCAUUAAAAUGUAGGUUAAAUGAGUCAAAUAAAUCCCAACUUAAAGCACAUAAUUUGGCAUGAUUUUGGAAUUUAAUUAUAAUAAUAUUAGUAAAUUUUGUUUAUUUUAUGUCGUGAAGAUACUAAAAUUUAAGCUCAGUUUGUGCAAUUGCGCCGGAAAUAUUCAACUUGGCGUAGAGCACGGCGCCCUUGAGGAAAUUUGAGCAGCAAAAAAGAGACUUUCUUGAUCAAGUUAUCUACCAUGAUAUUUUUAAUAAUUAUUUGUUAAUUACGAAAUAAUAUUUGAUAUAUUGUUAGUAAAAUUUAAAAAUUUCACAAACAAGAUGAGUUAGACAAGUAUAAUAAAAAAAUUAAAAAUAAAUGUAUUAAAGAAAUGAAAAAAGUGGCAAUUUAUAAAUAUACUCGUGGAAUUAAAAAAUGCAUUAUCAGUGUAUCAAAUACUCACCAUUGAAUGAGGUGUUCUAGUUCAUUUAAAAUUAUUAUCUUUAUCUUUUAUUUUACGUUAAGAUUUUUUUAUUAUUUUAAUUAUUAUAUUUUUUUGGGUAAAUUAAAUAACUUUACGCACACUAUUAAGAUAACGUAUUAGCCCGUGUAACGCUAAUAUAGUCUGCUUGUACUAAAUCUUGUACAGAAUAAGAUUGAUCUUCAAAUACUUGGUAAAUUAUUAUAUUUUUUUAUUAUCUUUAUAGAAUGAAGUUGGAAUAAAACUCCUCUAUAAGAGAUAACUUUUGGCAAUAGUUAAAAAAGAACUGAAUAUGAAUUUUUCUUUUUUCUGUGUAAUAUUCUGAAGAAAUGAUUCGUUGAAAUAAUGAGUCACCAUUGAUAUCAACACAUCUGGGAUCGCCAAAUGUACAGGAGUUCCUCUAUUCAAUCCCUUUCCUUCUUGUUGCUGGAUAUCUCGUUCGUACACAUCUUCUCUUUGUUUCCCGAGCCUUAGUGAGUUACAGACAGAGUUCGAAAAGGUCAAAUCUUUGAUGAUUCCAUCAUACAUGAUUGAGUUGCGAAAACUUCUGGAUAAGUAUCUAGAAGAAAUACGGGGUUUUGCUUUUGACGACAACAUGCCAUGGGGUGGUGGUCUCGCUUAUGGGGUCAAAUCAAUACGUUUUAAAAAAGAAAUAUUUGAAUAUCAAUCUCAUCGAUGUCAUCAAUCUCAUAAGUAUCAUACCAAAUCUGAUCAAUCGAAUCAUUUUUUUAAGAAAUACGAGACAUCUAAGUCAUACAAGUAAAUAUAUCUAUUCAUUGAUAAGGAAAAGAAAAAACGUGAGCGGUGAUUAGAUUGAUGAGAAAAGAGAACAAUAAUCAUAGGUACUUCAAGUUUGUUGUAGAACAAUUUUAUUUAUGUUUUAUUAUUAUAUUUUAUAGCAGCAAUGAUCAUAAAGUAUGAGAUGCAUUUUUUAUUAAAUUACUUCUCUAUAACAGUUUACUAAAUUACUUUUGCAUUGUAGUCACUUGUCUUAAGUUUUAAUAAAAUUAAUUUUAUUCCUAAGUGAAAUAAAAAUAAUAAAUUUUGGUUAAUAUAUUAUUUCAAUAAAAUGUUUAAAUUUUAUAUAAAAAUGUAUUAAUCAUAUGUUAUUAAAUGAAGGCUAUCUUUAAUAAAUGGAAAUUAUUAUUGUAAAAUUUAUUAAAAAUAUAAUUUAAAUCUCAUCAAUUAUUAUAAAUUAUAUUUUUUAAAUUUGAGAAUUAAAAAAAAUUAAAUAUGAUCUAAAUCUCGAAUGUUAUUAUAGAUGUCUCGAAUGAAAUUAUAAGUGUAUAACAACUAUCACUCGAUAAUAUUCAAAAUUUUAAUAGGCAAAUAUUACUAUUAUAAAGAGAGUUAACUAUAAUUUUUUUCGAGAUUCUCUUAAUUAUGAAUUUUUUUUAGCGAAGAGUAGAUAGAAGCUCAUUCUUACUAGAAUUGUGAGGUUCAAAGUGUUCUUCAUUCUUUUCUUACAUAUAUGCUCAUUCUCUGUUUUAUAAGAAAGGUGCUCUUAGUAUCAUUUCAAGUAUGAUCUCUUAUUCGAUAUUUAAGAUAAUAAUCCGUUAAUUAGAGUAAUUAGAUCCGUAAUUAUCUCUUUAUUCUAAUAAAUAGAACAAGUUAGCAUAAUUCGAUUGAGAGAGUAACUGGGUUAUGUUAUGGGAGUGAGUUAUCUAAUUUAAAUAAACCGCACGGUUAGAUUUAUUAAUUAGAGUCAAAUCUUUCUAAUUAGUAAGGUGAUUAGUGAAUAAAUCAUCAUAAGGUCUCUUAUGCUUAUCCAUCUAUUUUGAUGGUACAAUAUAUCUCAUGGUAUAAUGUUAUAAUAUGUGGCACAUUUGAGCUUUAUAAUAUUGGAAUAAAUAUUAAAAUUAUACAUGAAUUUUAUUUUAAUGUGCAAUUUGAUAUAAGAACUUUCAUAUGAUGUAAUCAUAUACAUGAAAGUUUGUUAUCAAUAUGUAUGGUCUUGGACCAUCAAAAAUGAUUUUUCUUUUGAGUUUGGCUACUUUAUUAAUUCACUUACCUCUAUCACGUCAAUAUUAAUCACCACUGUCGGAAGUUUUGUUCUUAUUUAUAGUGACAAUUAUAUGUCUCAUGAUCAAGAAUAUUUGAGAUUUUUUUGCUUAUAUGAGUCUGUUCAACACUUCAAUGUUGGGAUUAGUUACUAGUUUGAAUUUGAUACAAAUUUAUGUUUUUGGGGAAUUAGUUGGAAUGUGUUCUUAUUUAUUAAUAGGUUUUUGGUUCACACGAUCUGUUGUGGCAAACGCUUGUAAAAAAAAGUUUGUAACUAAUAGAUAGGCGAUUUUGGUUUAUUAUUAGGAAUCUUAGGUUUUUAUUGGAUAAUGGGAAAGUCUCGAAUUUCAAGAUUUGUUCGAAAUAUUUAAUAACUUGAUUUAUAAUAAUGAGGUUCAUUUUUUAUUUGUUAAUUUAUGUGCCUCUUUAUUAUUUUCCGGCACAAUUUCCUCUUCAUGUAUGGUUAUAUUACCUGAGGCCAUGGAGGGGCUUACUCCUGUUUCGGCUCUUAUACAUGCUGCCACUAUGGUAGUUGCGGGAAUUUUUCUUGUAGCCUAUCUUCUUCCUUUUUUUUAUAGAUAUACAUAUACAUAUACUCAUUAAACUUUGAUUUUAAUCUAAUUGCGCACAUUUAAAAGGAGAUAAAUAUAUUUGUUUAUUUUUAUAUUUGAUUAAUAUAAUUGUUUGUGCUUACAAUAUAUAAACGUAAAGUGGUACUACGUCGAUAAUGUUGCUAGUAGUUUAUAAAAUUUGAAUCAAAUUAAAAUAUCAUAUAUAAAAUUGUAUAAAAUCAAAAUUCAUAUAUAACAUUGCAUAUUAAACUAAAAUUCAUGUGUAGUUUUAAUAUUCACCCACAUAAUAUUCAACAUAGAUCCAAUGCUUUCAUAAGCUUAAAAUUAGCAAUCGGCCUCGAAAAUUCCAUAUAAAAUCAGGUUUUCAAUAAUUUUGCAUUUCAUAUUCCAUUUCAAAAAUAAGAAUUUUAUGAAAAUUCAAAAACAAAAUCCGAAAUUAGAAAUGUCAAAUGGAUCCUAAAAGCAAACUUGAGUUACUUGAGUUGACGAAUCUUAUUUUAACAACUGAACUCAAUUUGAUUUUUUUUUAAUCGAAUCGAAUCGAGUUAAAAAAUUUUGAGUCGAGUUAAUGAAUCCUAUUAUUUAUACUCAAUGUGGUAUUUACGUGGACUGAUUAUUUAACUACAUAAACAAUAUAAUGAUUUUGUCUUUUAACUUAAUGGGUAAACAUUUAUCGAAACGACGAAGUUUUGCCUUUUUCUUAUUCAGAUUUUCAGAUAACUCGAAUUGUGUAAUUCAUAUUCGAGUUAAACUAAAAAUUUUAAUUUUUAUUCGAAUCACUCGAACUAUUUAAUUCAAUAUUUAAAUUUUUAUCAAAAUUUUCGAAUCGAAACAGAUUUUACUCACCUAACUAGAAAUUCAUAAAUAUGGCGACAAGUAGAUGGACAAAACGUCGCUAAAACAAAUAAUCUGGGUGUUUGUUUUACAAACACAAUUAAAUAUAAUUUUCAAUCAAAGUAAUUUUUUGUGACGGAAGGAAACAAAUGUAUAAAUUUAGGGAUAAAAAAAUUUCGAUUCGAUUUGAAAAAAAUUAAAUUUUGAGUUAAUCGAAUCGAGUUAUUUGAGUUUCAAGUUCGAGUCAAGUUGAAUUUUACAAUUCAAAUAACUUGAAUAAUUCGAAUAACAGAUUAGUGUAAAUACCUCUUUGAUCCCUGUCAAAUUUGAAAAUGAGCAAAUUGAUCUCUCUCAACAAAAAACAAAAAAGAAAUUCAAAAUACUUAUAAAAAUUAUAAAAAUAUAUAUAUUUUUUAAAAAUUUAAAGAUUCUAAAGAAUGUAUAAACAAAGUUAAAAUUUUAAAAAUUUUCUAAAAUAAUAAUUUUUAGACCUAAAUAAGUUAAUUAAUUAUUUAAGUUUAUCAUACUAAAAUAAUUUUAUUUUAUUAUCAUUUUGCUUUGAAAAAGCUUUCAAUUUCAUGUGUUCUAACAUGAAAUUAGUUACACUGUAACAAGAUUUUAAUUUGACAUGUUUAAUUUUUUAAUUUAACUCCAACAAUUUCACUCGAUUCGACUCAACUCGAAUUUCAUUUCACUUGACUCGAUUCGAAAAUAUUUCAAAUCAAAUUAGGAUGAUAAAAUGGAACUCGAUAACUCAAUUUAUUCAAAAUAUUUUCACUUGAUUCGAUCGAAUGCUAAUCCCUAUAUAAAUUAAUAGCAUAUUAUAACGUCGCUAAAGCUAAAAAAAGCGUCGUUAACUUGUUGCGUUUCUUGUAACAAACUCUCCAAUCUCUUGAAUUGCGAUGCUUUUUAAGGCGAUUUUGCUAGGGCGACUAUUUUUUAGUAGUCGUUUUAAGAACAGCAAUAGGUAAUAAAAAAGGGGGACGUCUAGAUGCAGCUUUUGUUGUAAUGUUCAGUUUGUAUAGUACAACAACAAACACAUGUUCAAAAUUUUCAAUUAUUUGGCAUGAUUAGCCAAGUCAUCUUAAUCUUGAGAAAAAUACGAGCACCCGUUAAAGAAUCUGAAGAUUUUUCAAUUUAAAUAAUUUUCAUUUGUUGCUUGUUUUCAAAGAAAAAUUACUUAUUAGAAUUUUACCAGCUAAAUCUGACUUUAAAUCUCUCAUAUUUUUAGAAUAAAUAUGGGCUCAUCUCAUCCAUCCACCAUGUGGAAUGUUAUGAAAUUAUAUGAUUUUGAUAGAUGUGAGUUAUUAACCCACAACAUGUCAUUUGUGAGAUUAUUUGCUUAAAAAAUUAAAAAGGAAAAUUACAACGGACGUAAUUGAGACAAUUUUGCUAAUGUUGAUUAGUUUAUAUCUUAAGCUUUUAAUGAUAUUGUAUGUAAGUUGAAACAAUAUUCUGUUGCAAAGCCUAUUGCUUAUACGCAAAAUUUAGUGAAAGUAUUAAUUAAACGCCUCUAAUUAAUAGUUAAAUCAUUACUUGUGAGAACACGGAUUCUCAUACAUAUAUGGAGAUAUAAUAUUUUAUAUGCAGCAACACUUAUAUGCAUUAAGCUAAUAAACUAACCCCGUUACAAUUCCCUUAUGGCUAGGAAUCACAUGUUUGUAAUUUUUAGAUGUGUGAUAUAUAUUUCGAUUGCUUCACGAUAAUGCAUAAAAUGGGUUUUAGAAAAUAUUUGGAAUAAUAUUAACUAUGAAUCUUUUUAUAAUUAUCAAAUAUUCUGAAUUGUUAAUUAGAGGUUUAGUUAUGAUGUGACUUGUCAAUUAUUUUAGUGAGAUAAUUUUUUCAACAUUAAAUAACUAGAUCAAUAAACUCUUGGGAUUAAUUAUCUAAAUGCUUUAAAGUAAUGUGAACCAUAAUUCAAAAGCAUUGAUAGAGUAUUGAUCCAAACUGAUGACCUAAAGGUGGUUAAAUUCAUUCAAGAAAGUCAGCCGGCAAGUGUGAAUUCAACCUUGGUAAAGAGGAUUCUACAACUGUUAAAGCGGAUUGAAUAUUGAAGAUAAGGUAUGUUCCAAGAGAGGAGAACAGAAUUGCGGAUUUAAUAGCUAAAAUGACCUCCAACAAGAAGGAAGAUGUUUAAGUUUUUGAGGAACUUCCCGAGGAGAUUCUUGAGGAGGAAUACAGUGAAAAAUCAUUGUAUUUUUACUAUUUUUCCUUAAUAACAAGAGCACAAGUCCCCCAUCAUUUGAUGUUGAAAUUUUAUUUGUUAGUUUAUAGUUUAGAGAGAAAAAGUUGGGAAAGUGUUUGAAUUCCAAAGUUUUGAAAAAAAUGUAGGAUUUAUAUAGUAAAUAUACCAAGUCAAAGUUCUCCUUAUAACUGGUAGACUUUUUUUGUCGGCCAAAAUACUAAAUAAAUUUUAAUUCCAAAUAAAUUGCAAGUUGAUAUAAUAAUAAUUAAACCAAUAGGAGUCUUACGUAAUGAAUUUCCUUUCUUUUUCUUUUUACUUUUCUUUUGAGUUAAGCUUAAUUUUUUAAAAAAUAUAUAUAUUGUUGAGUAAUUUUUCAUUGUACCUCAUUAGAGGGGAUAAUCAAAUAUUUAUAUAUAUGGUUAUUGUUCAUAAAAUUGACGUUCUCAGUAGACUCUAUGCAUGCAGGACAUGUGUACUGUUCUGGGUUGCGUGUUAGACUUCAUGGCCCCCACGUGCAAACUCCUUGAGUAUAUGCGAGCCGUGGCAGUGAGCUCUCGUUGUUGACUUCUCACUGUAAAGCUUGUGCAUAUCCAUCCAGUAGAGGCCUCCACAUGCGAACUUCUUGAUUAUAUGCGAACUGAGACCGCGAGCACCUCGUGGCAUGUGCGAGCUGAGGCAACGAGCUCCCGUUGCUGACUUCUCAUUGUAAAACUUGCAUGUAUCCAUCCAGUAGGGCUUAGCCAGGUCGCAGAUAGGCGACCUAGACCUUAUCUGAUUCUCGAGUUGAUGAUCAUAAGUACAUAAUAUAUAUAUUCAAUUUCAUCCAAAUCCAAACAAAAACAUGGAUCAAUUUGCCACAAAAGUACCAAGGAGAUAUAGAAAUUAUAGUUACCUUCCUCGAAUUCCUAUUAAAAAUUUUUGCCAAAAUUUUUAAAUGAAAAUAUUAAUUUAAAAAAUUGGAUUUUGAUUUUAUUUGUCAGAAAUUAAAAUGCAUACGUUUUAUAUAAAUUAACUAAUAUUUUUUAUAUAUCAAAAGGUGUUAAUGUCAAUUACACGUCUCAAAUGCAACGCUACCGUUCUACAACUUAUUUUAUCUAUUGACAUUUUUUGAUUUACGCAUUUUGAUUAUUUAUUUUAAUGCUUUUUUAUUAUUUUGAGCAAUAAAUCUCGAUAUUAUAAUUGGAGAAGAGAUUGAAUCAAGAAUAUUUUUCAAGGGUUCUAGUACGAUUAUUUGUGUAAUUUAACUGAUUGUGGAUAAGUUAAAAUCAAGAAUAUCUCAUUUAUUUUAUUCCAUAAUAACUUAUUUGAUUAGGGAGAAAUUUCAUAUAUUCAUUCAAAUCAAACUACGAUGCUUAUAUAAAGACUUGUGUUUCAACUUUUGGCGGAGAAGGUGAGAUCGCUUAUAUGUUCAAUGCUAGGAACCUGUUUUUAGGCAAUUACUUUGUAAACAUUGUUCUUCAUAUUCAAUUUGUCGUUUAAGUUUUUAAGAGAAAAGUCUUAGUGAGGAAUUGAUGUAUAGGAAUGAGAUUGCAACUUGACAAGUAAGUUGAAUUUAAAUAACGUCUUAUGCUUUUAAUUCAUAGCAGAUUACUUUCUAGAUAAAACCACACAGAAGUAGGAAAUUUUCUUAACUGUGUAAUUAACUUUUGUGUACAUCUCCAAUUGUUGUUCUUUUAAUUAGUAUAACCAGUUGCAAUUGAAUGUGCAACCGAAAGACAAUUUCACUGAAAUUUCAAAAAAAGAUAUAUGGAUUUCAAAUCAACCGCCAAAUAAGCAAAAACAAACUCAUGAGCUUGAAAACAAGUAUGAAAAAAAUUAAAUUUACUCGCAUUUUUAAAGAUAAAUUUUAAAAUUACACAUGAAUUUUUAUUUGUUACAAUUAUAUAUAUAAUUUUGAUUUUGAUUUUUAUUCUUCACAUUUUUUUAAAAAUAAAUCAAUUUGAUUAUUUUCAUAUCGAAUAAAUAUAAUUAUUGAUACAUGCAAUAAGUAAACUUAAAUGAUGUCAUGUGUCAUAGUGUUAAACUUUGUGAAAACCAAAUCGAAAUAAAAAUUUUAUGUAUACAAUUUAAAAAACAAAAUUCAUAUAUUAUAUUGCAGAAAAAUAAGCUAUGAUAAGCCCUUAAAUUUCAACCUUUGCAAAGCACUCAAUUAAUCCAAGAAUUUUGUCACUUGAGGGAUGAUUGGUUCAUAGAAUGUAAAAUUAUUUUCAGUAAUAGGAUUAUUUAAUACAUUACUAAGUAUGUUAUUUACUUUAUUUAGCUAAAAUUUAAUAUUUUAUUAUUUAAUUGAUUUAUUGGAAUUGCAUUUUACUAAACUAUUUUUAUUAUAAAAUUUGUUUUUUUUAACAAAUUUAUUCCCCCCCAAAAAAACCCCUUAAAAUGCCAAAUUAGACUAUGCUAGGAAUCCGAUUUUUAACAUAAGAAAAAAAAAUAAAAGAAUAAUUUUUAUUUUUAUUUUUAUAAUUAAAAUAAAAAAUUUUCUUAUCCAAAAUAUGAUAUUUGAAAAAAUUUACUUGACGGCGGCACAUUAUUAUGUUUUUUUUUAACAAUCACAUGAUAAGUUCUUUUUUUUUUUUUUUGACAUAAUACCUAGAACUAUCCAUAAUCUCUCCCCAACCUAUAAACAAGAAGAUAAUGCACUUCAACGCAUUCAAACAAACGUCUUCCUACAUUAACAAUAAUGCACAUACCGGUCGAAUUAAGACUCAAUCAACUAUUAUAUUUUGAAAGCUACUUCCUAGCAAAGAGGAAAUUCCUAGCCACAUAAUAUAGUCAAAUAUGGCUGCCAUUUAGUUUUCCUUUAAACGAAAACAUGCUGAAGAAAAGGAAAUAAUUCAGGGUUGAUAAAAGAUAUAUAUGGUGAUUUGAAUAUCAUACGAAUUUUUCUUAAAUUUUCUUUAGUUUUUUCUAUAGAAAGCUUGACUUAUGUUUGAGUAAAUAAUUUUUUUUAAAUGAAGAUUAAAGAAAAAAAUAUUAUGUGAAUCUUAAUAUUAUGUGCUUUUUUCCCAAAAUUAUUGUUUAAUUUUGAAUAUCAUAUGCUUUACCUAUGAAUUAUUGUUUAAUUAAUUAAUGAGAGUAACUAAAAGAGACUAAUAGAAAGAGGAGAUAUUGUAGAAUGGUCACUAUUGUCAUCUCUUCCUCUAUGUUCUAUUGUUUGUAAACUAAAUUAACUUUCAAUUUUUAAAUCUCAAAUUUUUUUUUUUGUUAUGAGUUUAAUUUAUUUUAUCAAAAAUAUUACUAACAAUUAUUUAAUUAAUUUAAUAUUACUGUUUUGAAGCUUAUUUGCUUUGUUAUUUGCGAUUUAAAUUGUCAUUUCGGUAGAAAAUUUCACUGAGGUCAUUUAACUUUCAAUCAAAUUCUUUUUUUUUCCUUUACAUGAUUUUAGGUUUUAUUUCCAGCUAUGACGAUUAUAUCAAUUUGGUGGACUAACUUACCCUUUAGCGUUCUUUUAGUAGCUGACUUAAUUAUUUGGUUAAUGGAUUCAUAUUUUAUAACAAGGACAAUAUAGUAAAAUUUAUUUUUAGGUUAUCUUACAUUUCAGCUAAAUGAACCAAAUAAGGUAAUCUCACAUUCCACCCGUAAUUUUACACCCCAUAAUCAUAUUAUAGAACGUAAUUUACGAUUCGACAAACCAAACACCCUCUUAGGGUUAAUGUUUUGUUAGGUUUUCUCAUAGGAACCUUACACUCAUGGAUAGUGAGGUAAAUUUAAAUUUUCAUUUCCCUCUUCAAAUAAUCAAAAAUAGAUUACGAUGUACAUUGAUGCAAAUUACAAUUUACAUUUUUUAAAAUUUUUACGAAGAUCUCAACCGCCAUGAAUGCCAAGUUCUCUUUAAAUAUUAUCCACACCUGUUACAAAAUAAAUUAAAUUAAAUUAUCAUAAUUAAAAUUUUAAUGUUUAACAAAGAACUCAAUAUUAAUUUACUAAUUGAGUCUUAGUGCAGUUGAUAUCAGCAUUAUUGUCUAGAGCAGGAAGACGUGAGUUCGGACGUACUAAAGCAUAUUUAUUCUCUUAUUUAAAGGUGGGUAGAAAUUAUAGAAAAUUUUAAGUAUGAUGUUAAAAUACAAUAACUCAUAUCAAUUGAACUUUUUUUUUUGGUAACAAGAAAUUGAAUUAUUAAACUAACAGGAUGUAGCAGGAGUCGAAAGCACAGACAUGUUAUCCAUCCUUAACUGGUGACGGACUAAAGAGGGAGCCCUAUGGAACAUAUGGACACCAAACAGGAAAUCCUUCAUUAUUCCGGCCAACAAGUGAGUGACAAAAUUCACUACCUUUAGGAUCUGCUCAAAGACAACACUCCAAUCUCGACUGCAUAACUCAUGAAUUCUUAGAACCAAAUCUCUAUGUAAAUACCCUCUUAAGUCACCAUUGAUCUUUCUAAUAGCAAGUGCACAAUUCAUUUCAACAACGAUAUCUCUUCAUUUAGCACCCCACACCAUAAUAAGACCUCAUAAAUUAUCCAAAGCUCCGCUUUCUCUGCACACACUUACCAGUAUUUUUACCUACCACAUACACCCAAUUGUCAUAUUCACCUCUCAUCACUGCUGUUGAUGCGGCUAAACCUGAAACUGAAUUACUAAUACCGUCAAUAAUGAAACCUGAAAGAGGUGGGCUCUCCUAUUCCGUCUUCUGGUACCUUAAUAAUUCUAUAAUCAUUGCCUCCAUCUCAAUGGUGUGCAAAAAACUCGCCACUCUCCCAAAAGAAUUUUUUUUUUUUAGAAAUUAAUUUCCAGAAAAACCUAUUUUAAGUUUUAAUUAUUUUUUUCUACAAUAUUGAUGUAAAAAAAAAUCUAGAACUUACUACAUAUACAUGAGAAAUUAUGUACAUUUGGGUCUAACCCAGCCGCCGUACGUCAUCUCUAAUUCUCGCCUUAAUUUCCUUUUUUAUUAUUAAAAAAAUCCUUUUCCCCAUAAUUUUAAUUCUUUUAAGAUAUUUUGUCCUUUAGUUCUUGCCUAUAUAAUUAUAAAGCGUAGGGUUCCUCAAACCUUUAUUGGAUCAAAUCAUAGGUUUAUCAAGAUCACUUGUCAGUUUAAAGCAUUUACAAACAGAACGGCCUUCAAUGGAGGAGUUCUUUCAAUAUCAUUCAAGCUCUCAAUCACUGUUUCGAUUGCCGUCGCCGUCGACGGAGACUUUGCCAGGCUUCUGGGAUGAGCUUCUUCUCAACUUCAAUGACUUCGAAGAAAUGGUUUGGGAUGAUAUGGCUGCGGCGGCCCUGGAUAAGUCCAAGAACUCCGUUAAUGGCGUAAAGGAAGAACGUGUCACAUCGGAUAUUCCUAAAAUGGAAGAGUUACCCAAGGAAGAGAAAGCUUACAGAGGUGUAAGGAAGCGACCGUGGGGGAAAUACGCGGCUGAGAUUAGGGAUUCAACGAGAAAUGGAGUUAGGGUUUGGCUUGGAACAUUCGACAGUCCCGAAGCCGCCGCUUUAGCUUACGACCAAGCGGCGUUUUCGACGAGAGGACCAUCGGCGACGCUCAAUUUCCCGGUGGAAGUCGUCAGGGAAUCGCUUCGGAGCAUUAAGUACCGAUGCGACGAAGGGUGCUCGCCGGUGUUGGCGCUGAAGAAAAGACACUGUUUAAGGAAAAGAUCGAAGAAGAAUAAGAUGGUGAGCCCACAAAAGGAGGUAAUUUCAAGAGAGACACGACAACAAAAGAACUUGGUCGUGUUGGAAGAUUUAGGAUCUGAUUACUUGGAACAACUUCUAACUUGUUCAUCUUGAAACCUCACUCAGGUUCUUUUGUUUCAUAUAUAUAUCUAUACCCGUUUCUUCACUUUCAAACAAUAUUGUUCUUAGUUCUUCUUGGUUUCAUUGAAUCUUUGGAGGGGAUGAUUUUCCAUGGCUGUUAACUGCUUCUUCCAUGGAUAAAAUGUACUCUUUUUUUUCUUUUUUUUUUUUUUUCUCAAUUUUAAGUUUUUGUAAUGUUAAAAUAUGGAAAUAUAUGAGUUUUACACUAAGGUAAAUAGAUCUCUUUAUAGUGAUAAUAUUAUAUACUAAAUAUAAUAAUUUAUCUUUUAAUUAAUUUCAAAGUAUUGAAUAAAAUUAUGGUAUAAACUAGGAAUCCACUUAAAUUAAUAUUUUAACAAUAUAAAAAUAAUAUAAUUUUUAAUGUAAAACAACAAUAUAACUAUUGGGUUUAGCAAUAUUUGAAAAGAAGGCUCUAAUGCUAAUCUUAACAAGAAAAAGCUUUUUUAUUCUCCCUAACUCUUUCAUUUUGUUUUCUUUUAUGCAUAAUUGCAUCGGAGUUCAUUGUCAAGUUAAUCUAGUAAUGAGUAGUUAGGAUGUAAUUUUCAUAUUAAGUGUAUAAGGUUUUUAUAGGCAUAUUCAUAUAUAACAAAUAAUUAAAUAUUUUUUAUUUUCUUAUCAUACUUAAAUCGUGACAAAUUCAAUUAUCAACGGUUAACGUGCUAUGAUGUUUUAUUAAUAUUUUUUUAAUUUUUUUAAAUCAAAUGAUACCAUUCCUAUAAUAGAUUUCCUUUUAAAAACUACUAAUAAUCAUUGUAAAUAAUAAUCUUGAAAGAAAUUCAUUGGUUAUUGACCAUUGACCAGGCUUGUGGAAUUCAAGCAAGACCAUUGAGUCAUAAGGUUGAACCUAAGCUACCAGAUUUGUCUGAAUCUAACUUUGACAUUUACUAGUUACAACAAAUAUUUAACUUCAAAACCCAAAGUUAGAAUUAAUUGAUUCACGAAUCAGCAUAAAUAGAUUUUUUCUAAUUUUUAACAUGUUUUUAAUUUUAUAAUAAUUAUUUUUAUUUAAAAAUCCAUCUAUCUAAAGAUGGGAUAGUGAAAAGGAGGCGAAAGUGACCAUCUGUCCCUUUACAGGUAGUGAUGUUCAAAUCAUCUAAACUUAACCCUAACUUUUGCAUUUUUUUAAAAAUAGAAUUGAUGGGAAAAUAUUAAAUAAAUAUUGCUACGUCUGCAAAAUCAUCUAGUUUGAAUAGGUUGUUCAUUAGCUAAGCUCCAUGCGAUCUGAUCUGUAUUCUUCAAACAAAUUAAUCAUUUACACUGGUUCAUGCAUCUUACCCCAGAAUAUUUCAAACAAAUUUGUAUAUCAAUGGCCUCAUCCAUGAUGAUGAAAGAUCAGAUUGGAUUAUUCAGUUUAAUAAAAAGUAAUUAUAACAUUAAUCAUUUACUAAGUUAAUUUUAUCUGUGGUUAGGUUGAUGCCACGUAAUUUUUUAGGCAUUUAUUAGUUUUCCAUAUGCUUUCAAACUUUUUUUUUAAAUGUGUAUUUAAAUUGAACUUCAACCCUAAAUGCUAUUCGUUUUUCAGAAGAAUGUUGGUCAAACGAAGAACAGAAGUAGAAGGGAGAGAUCAGUGUCAGAAAACAACAAAAUAGACGGACUCAGUAAGAUUCAAGUUUGCUAUCAUGUAAACCCAGAGAAUCAAGAAACACCUAAAACCCCAAAUCCACUCAAAAUCAUCCCAGAAAAUUAAAAAAAAAUCUAAUAACAAAAGGAUAUUUUACACAUACUGUAUGCCAUGCUUCUUGUCCCUGCCUUUCCAUUGUUUCCUCUCCAUAAACAAACAUUACAUAGUUUCUUUGAUUUUUUCUCUCUCAAUCAAUCCUAACCCUAAGAUAGGGCGUAGAUUGGCCCAAAAAUGGUAAAAUUGCUUUAUAGCUUUGGCUUCCAAAAUAUUAUCAUUCAUCUCUAGUCUCUACCUCUCUAAAUUAAUUUUUCUGGUUUCCUCCCUGCAUAAAACCUAGACUUUGAAAUUAAUGUUUUCAAUCCUAACCCUUACACUAUUGGUCUCAAUCCUUCUCUUUUUCAAAAGUUUUCAAGAACCCUAAAACUCUGAACAAUAUUCACCCUUUCUUUCCCUAAAUUAACUUAGGCACUUGACACUUGAGUAACCCAGAGUAUAACCCUAAGGUCAAAAGUCAAAACCUGGGCUUAAUAUAUUAAAACAACACCAACAAAAAUUUUACUUACCCACAUGGAAAAUGGAAAAUUACGUGGAAAUUACAAAAUUCUAGUUGGGUCAGUUCAAUUAAAAAAUAUUAAAAAUUCUAUAUUUGGGCACAAUAGUGUGGGAUGAAUCAUAAUGAGGUUAAGCUAAAUGUUCAUGCCUCUGGUACUCGAGUUUUCUUGCCAGCUAAUUGGGUGCACUUAUUCACUAAUGGUGCGGUGGAUAGAGGGUCUGGAGCUACAUUUGCUGGUGGACUGUUGCGAGAUCAGAAUAGAGAUUGGGUCUUGGGUUAUAACUAUUAUCUUGGAAAAUGUGCAGUCUUUGAGGUUAAACUAUGGGGCAUUUUAGAUGGCAUGCUUAUUUUACUCAGUAAAGGUUAUAAUGGAGUUAUGAUUCAUACAGAUAAUUUGGAGGUAGUUCACGUCCUACAGGAUAAUUUGUUGGUGACGUCGGGCAUUAUAGUCCUCAAGAGAGUCCAACGGAUCAUGAGAACUGAAAAGCAAUGGUUGAUUCGGUAUGUUCCCAUAAAAGAUAAUCAAGUUGCUGACUAUUUGGCCAAGUUGAAUUUAGGUGUGAGGACAUGCUUACAAGUUUAUGAUGAAGUUCCUCAUGUUACCUUAGAAGCUCUAAAUCAAGAUAAAGCUAAGAGUGCUUUUGAUCAAUUUAAUUUGAUGUAAUCUUUGUUUUUUUUUAUCACCAAAAAAAUAUAUAUUAAAAAUCAGUCAAAAAAAAACUAAAAAUCAACUCAAUUGAUUUUUUAAUCGGUUCAACAAGUUAGCGGUUCUAUUGGUCUAAUAUCAUUUUUCAAAUAAAUAUUUUAACUAAUUCUUGAUACAACUGGUUCGAUCGGCUCAAUUGAUUUGAUGAAUUGAUCUGGUUCAAUUCAAAUAUCACUGAUUUUUGUUGCUAAACUAAUGGCACUUUUAAGAUGAAGUACAUAAAAUAUUUUAAUUUCGAAAAGUUAAAUGAUUAAAUUAAAAUAAUAAUAAUUGAGAAGAUAAAAUAAAUCUAAUUGCAUAGGACAACAUUCUUACAAGUUACCCAUUAAUAAAAAUGGGUGGUUCAUUCAGUCAAUACAUUCAAUCGAUAAAAAGAUAAGUAAGAAAUAUGUAAAAAUCGAUUUUUGGUAUGUUUUAUUAAAUUUACUUUUCAAUUCAUAAAGUUUCAACUUUUAGCCUUCUGCGGGUAUUAAACACAAAUACAAAAUUAUAUUAAUUAAUUAAUUAAUUAUUAUAUUUUAUAUUUAAAUUAAUUUAUAUUCGAGUUAUCCAAUUUAAUUGAUUCUACCAGGAAACUAAAUGAAUUGGUAUCUUGUUGAUCACACUAGUUUGACAUUAAGUACGGUUUUUUGUCAAUGCAAUUUUUGUAUUAUAUAAGCAAAACUCAAAAGUUGUCAUGUGUCUUAUUUAUUUAUUACGUCUUAAAGGGUACAUGUCAUCCUUUUAAGUCUUAUUUGUGGAGACUAAAAUUUCAAUUUACAGUCUAACUAUUAGAGAAUGUAGUAAGUGAUUCUUUAAGAUUUUAAGAUCAAUUUAUUGUGUCGGAGCACUGUUUGUUACAUCCUAUAAGUCAUCAUCUUAAGGAUCAGGAUGCUACUAGUUCGAUUUGGUUCAGUCAAGUUUUUUUUUGGAAAUUUUAAACUAUCUAUCAUUUUAGUUCGAUUCAAUUUUUUUAUAUUAAUUUUUUGAUUUUUGAUUUUUAGACUUAUUUUAAUAAAAUGUGCUUUUGUUUUAUGGUUUUUGAAUAUUAUUCGACAAAAUGUAAAACUCUUUUCAUAAAUGUUUCUAAAAUAUAAUAAUUUUUAAAAAAAUAUUAUAAAAUUUUAUAUCAAUAACUGUGUUAAUAAUUUGUGAAAAUUGAAUUAAAUUAAAAUUUUACGUAUAAAAUUACAUAAAAUCAAAAUUCCUGUUUAAAAUUACAUAUUAAACCAAAAUUCAUUGAUAAAAAUUUAUCCCAAAAUAAAAACAUUCAAAGUUAAAAUAAUAAACGUAUUUUAAUUUUAAAGCAAUUAUAUAAAUUCUAAUUAGAAAAUUACAAAAAUUAUCGUUAUAAAAUUUACAAUACAAUGUAUUUAACUUUUUAUUUUAUCAGUAUCUUAUAUAGUAAAAACACUUUCUAUCCAACCCAUUCUACGAACAAAAAUUAUGUAAAAUUUGGGUCAAACCCCGCCGCCGUACGUCAUCUCUGAUUCUCAAGUUAGUAUUAUUAUUAUUAUUUCAGAAAAAUACUUUUCCCAUUAUUUAAAUCUAUGUUCUUUUUAGAUGUUUUGUCCUUCUAAUUCUGGUAUAUAAAGCGUAGAGUAUCUCAAACCUUGUCGGAUCAAAUCAUAGGUUAUCAGUACCAGUUUUCAGUUUAAAUCAUUUAUAAAGAGAACAGCUUCAAUGAAGGAGUUGUUUCAGUAUCAUUCAAGCUCUGAAUCAUUGUUUAUAUCGCCGUCGCCGUCGUCGGAGACCUUUUCAGGUGGCUGGGAUGAGCUUCUUCUUAACUUCAAUGACUUGGAAGAAAUGGUUUGGGUGGAUAUGGUGGCGGCGGCCUUGGAUUUGUCCAACAACUCCAUUGGACAUUCCUAAACUGAAAGAGUUACCCAAGGAAGAGAAAGCUUACAGAGGUGUAAGGAAGCGGCCGUGGGGGAAAUACUCGGCUGGGAUUAGAGAUUCAACGAGAAAUGGGGUUAGGGUUUGGCUUGGAACAUUUGACAGUCCCGAAGCCGCGGCUUUAGCUUACGACCAAGAGGCGUUUUCGACGAGAGGAUCAUCGGCAACACUCAAUUUCCCGUUGGAAGUAGUCAGAGAAUCGCUUCCGAGCAUUAAAUACCGAUGCGACGAAGGCUGCUCGCCAGCGUUGGCACUGAAGAGGAGACACUGUUUAAGGAAAAGAUUGAAGUGAGCACACAAAAGGAGGUAAUUUCAAGAGAGACACGACAACAAAAGAACUUGGUCCUGUGGGGACAUUUAGGAUCUGAUUACUUGGAACAGCUUCUAAACUUGUUCAUCUUGAAACUGACGGACUUCCGACAAGAAUGGUCAUAUGUUAGAGACAGACCACUUUUGUCUCCACUUCCCAAGUAUCUAACGAGAUAGCCCGACCCUUCCUUCGGUUUCAAACAUUGUUUUCGGUUUCAUUGAAUGUUCGAGGGUUGAUUUUUCAUGGCUGUUAAUUGAUACUUGUAUGGAUAAAAUGUUUCUUUUCAAUUUUGUAAAGUUGAAACAUAUAUUUAUAUAAUGAUAAUAUUAUAUUAAACACAAUACAUUAAUAAGUGGUAGAGGAUUCGAUUCUUAUUUUGGUAUGGAGUAAUUUUUUUGAUGUUAACCUUGGAUAAAUGAAUAAAUUUAAAAUUCGUGUCCAGCAUCUAUCUCUUAAUGAGUUUACAGAAUACGAAAGAUUAAUUAUUGAACUCGCUCCGAUAAAUACAUUGAGAAAUUAAAAAAAUCUACUUAUAUUAAUUGUAAAAUUAAAUUUGUUUAAUAUGCUUCUUUUUUUUUAAUAAUAUUUUAACAAUAUAGCUUAAUAGUAUGUAAAUGCACUCAUCACAAAGGUAAAGCUUUGAAUCAAAAAUAAUAUUUGUAUUGAUCAUGAAUGUUACUUUAUCAAUAGUUUUUUUUACAUUAGGAAAACAGUUGGCUUUUAAUUUCUCAAAAUUCAACUAUGUUAAUAAAAUAUAAAACAUGACCAUCGUAUUAUUAAAAUAUCAUAAAAUAUAUAUAAAAUUACUUUAAAAAUUUUAUACUAAAAUAUAACUGCACCACUUCUUGUUAUUAUUACAAUAAUCAAUUAAAUAUAAUAAUCUUAAAAAAGAUCAUCUACGACAGCAAAAUCCAUUGUUUAUAGGCCAUUGAUGAGAUUUAUAAAAACCCAAACGAGUUCUUUUGGGAUUCAAAACUAAAAGGUCAAAGUGUCAAGCAGAUUGUGUUUUGAUCUCUUUACAUUGAAAAAUUGAGUAAAUUAAUUUUUAUACAUUUUGAAAGGUGUAAAUUAGUUCAUCUAUUAAAUUUUAUUUGUUAAAUGAUGACGUAAAACAUUAAUUUAAAUUGUUAAUUACGAAUUUAGUCUCUGAACUAUAACUAAAAUAUUAUUUUGAUUUUUUUAAAAAAUUUUAACUAUAAUUUUUAAAAAAUUAAAAAUAAUCUUAAAAAUAAAUUUUUUUGCAUGGAAAAGACGUGACAUUGCCUCUUGCCAUGUGCUGGUCAAACUUCAAAUAUCCUUCACCCUAGACCAGUUCAUGAGUUGAACUAUCCGUCUAAGAUCAAAGGCUCACCUAAAAUUUGAGAGAGUUUGGAUAAAAAUAUUAGGGCCGUUUAACCUAAGGGUUGGACUCAGGCUUGAACAUUCAAUGAUCGAGCCUGGCCCGAGCCCGACCCAUUUUUAAGUUUAUAAUACUUUAUAUUAUGUUAUAUUUAUUUAUUAAGUAAUUUAUAAAACAUUAAAAAAAUAAACCUAUAUUAAAUAUAUAAUACUACUCUAAUGUAAACAUUAAAAUAAUGUGAAGAUUAUUAUAUAAAAAAUUUCAAUAAAUAAAAUUAUUAAAUUAUUAAAUAUUAAAUUAAAAUAAUAUGGGUGGGCCUAAAAUGGGGUUGGGUUAGUCUUUUGCAAAUAUGGACGAGUUUGGGCAAACAUAAAAUAUAUAAAUAUCAUGCAUAGGCACGACCUGAACACAACCCAGUCCGGCCCAUGAACACCUCUACUUCACCCACUGAGUUGGAAAUUUUACCUUGAAACGAUAGUUGGCCACCACCAUCAUUGUUUCUUCAUUAAAGGCCUUCCAAAGAGGGCAUUAUAAGCAGGGGAGAAAUUAGAAAAAAAAUUUAGGAGGCCAAAAUUAAAUUGUAAUUUUUACAAUAGUAAAAAUGCAAUUUCACCGUUUUAAUAGCCUCUAUCUUUAUAAUUUUUAAAGAAUUAAAUCAAAAUUUUAUCAUUUCAGGGGGGCCAAAGUACAAUUUUACCUUUACUAAUUUAAAAUUUUAAAAAUUUCAAAGGGCCUAAAUAAAAAAUUUUCCAUUUUAAGGGGACAAGGCCCCUGCCAGCCUCACUGGUUUCGCCCCUGAUUAUAAGAUGUUGGAUGGUCCACAAUUAGAAACUCAACCAUAUUUGUGAUUGUUCAAUCAUCAUCACCUAUUAUAACUGGUAACGUAAUUGAUCCUCUGACUUCAAUCAGCUGAUUAAAUGCCUGCUAACUCAACUCUUCCAUCACACGUCCAGUAUCAAUCAAAAUCCUCUUAACUUCAAAUCCUACAAUCAUUGCUGAAACUACCAAAGGAUCAUUGCCUUCUAGAUCACUCAAUUAGCUUCAUCUUGAUCAAAAAAUCCAACUUUAUGGGGUAUUGAUAAAUUAAAUAAAGUGUAAAACAUUAGAGGUAUCGAAAAAGGGAAUUAUUUAAGUUCAUACAUGUCAUGACCUAUUUUUAUAAAUGUUUGGUAUUGAUAAAUUGAAUGGAAUAAUUGUAUAGAUUAAGAAUUGGAUCAAACCGAAGAUAAUCGAGGAAAAGCCAAAAUUGUCAAUUAGUCAUUGAAGAUUCAAUUUGUGUGCUAUUUUGAUCAGGCAAGUACAUAUGGAACUUACCACUCAAUUUUUACUUUAUGUAUGAACGGUAUUUGAAUUUACACUUGUAUAUAUAUGAACUAAGUAGAAUUAAUGAAUUUGGCACUUAUAGCUCGAAAUGGACUGAAUUGUAAGUUCAUGUCAGUAUUGGUAUAGAAAUAGAACAAGAUGUAAAUGUGAUUGUUGACUGAUUAUUUGUGUUAAAAAUGAGAAUUAAAGUUAUGUACAGGAAUUGGUUUUGACAUUUAUACGAAAAUGAUGCACGAGUAUGACAUGCUAUUAGGAUUAUACACGUAAUUAAUCAGGGAUUUAUAUGUUAUUACGAGAUCUAGUAUUUGUUGCAGAUUCUCGGGUUAUACAUAUCGUUGGUUUAGCCCGGACAGGUAACCUUGAUACAAUGCCAGCUUGUCUGAGAAAUUUUGUUAAAAUGGUAGCUUAUGUAAGCAACCCUAAUAUAUGUCAACUUAUGUAAGCAAAAUAUUCUCGUGUAUCUGAGUCUGCUUUACUGUAGUUCCAUCGAGUGAUGUUCAAUUGAUUGGAAAUAAAAUUUAAAUCAUGAAAUGAAAAUAAAAUAGUGUUAAUGAUACCUGACAUAUGAAUUGUUAUAUGAUUAUGUUUUAAAUGUUGGCAAUACUUACGAUCCGAGAAUGUAACUAACACAUUCGAUUUGUGGUGAUAUUAUACAUAGAGAUAUGUCUUAAUGUGACAAGGAAAGUUAAAUCGGUAGCCAAAUGAAUAAUUGUUUAUGCUUUAAUGAUCAAAGGUUCAUUUUUAUAUUUUUUCGCUAAUAUUAGGGAUUCAGCUUUCUAAAAACCCUAUAAAGGUUUUUCUAACCUUUCUAUUUUUUGUUCUAAGGUUUUCUGGCUAGAGUAGUUGUAACUAUCAUAAUAAUAUUCAUCAUAGCUAUCAUUCAUAUCAAUAUCAUCUACCACAUUUUCAUUACCUUGAUUUGCAUGUUGAUGAUUGAGAUUUGAAUGGGUAGAUUUAUCCCCUCCAUGCCUUGGUUUUUUUAUCAUAAUUCAUCCUACCUACUUUUAACUCCCCAAUAAGCUUUACGUUUCUUUCAUUUCUUUUGUCUACUUGCCUUUAUCUAUCUAUUUUCUCUUGGAUAAACUUUUCCUACUCUUCAUAUCUCUUUUACUGGGAGGACAUUUGUUUCUACUUAGCUGUUAUUCUCUCUUGCAUGUCCAGAUUUUGUUGACCACCUAACUGGUGAUGCUGAGAUCCUUGGUCGGUUGGUGAUGCUCUAGCAUGAUGUUGAUUCUGGGGAUUGUAAUACCAUGGGGUAUUGGUAGAAUUGUUGAUAUGGAUUUUGUUUAUUUGGUUUUGAGGAUUGGUUUGAUUUUGCGGGUUGGUCUUCUGGUUGUCAAGCAAGGGGUUUGGGUUGUUCUCUUUUGAUCGAUGUUUUCUCCUAUGUUAUGAUCAGUAGAAUCUAUAACUUGGUUACAGGUGGGAUCAAACUUAGUGCUUGGAGGAUUACUUACACCUAGGUUCGUCAUGGCUGUCCACAUUCACUGCACUAAUUGUUAACUAAUGGGGUAAAUAAUGGAAGAAGAUGGUGAUUGGAAGAAGGGAUGAUCGAUGAAAGUGGAGAGAGAGGUUUUUGUUUUUAGAAAUGUAAAAACAAAAUGUCGAUAAUGGCAAUAUAGAACGAUCGCAAAGGAAAAAAAAGAAAAAUAAUAAGAACACAUAGAUUUUACGUAGAAACCCUUUUGGGAAAAAAACAUGGGCAGAGGAGAAAAAAGUUCACUAAUGUUGAAAUUCGAAUAAUACAAGAGGAGUUUCAACUACUUCUAUUUAUAGGUUGAAAAACCUUAUUCUAAUCAAUGCCAAAUAGAAUGAGAGAAGUACUAUACGGAUCUACUUGUACAAUCAAUAUCAAAUAGAAAUAGAAAUAGAGUAGUUCUAUAUGAAUUUUACUUGUAUUUUAUAUUAUUUUAUUUUUUAACAGGAAUUUGGGUCACACAACUUUAAUAAUCUCCACCUUGACACGAAUUCUCAACAAAAAAGUUCUUCACCGUGAACUCUCAACGAAUAAGUUCUCCACCUCUUCCACAAAAACCCUUAAGGGGUAAUCUUCAACAAUAUACACUAACCAAGUCCAAGCAAUACUCAAACUUGGUUAUAAGAAGUGACUUAGCCAUAAUAUCUACAGGAUUAUCAUGAGUACUAACUUUUCUCACAACAAUAUCACCACGAGCAAUAAUAUCACACACAAAAUGAUAUUGAACAUCAAUGUGCUUUAUUCUCUCAUAAAACAUUUGAUCCUUCGUAAGGAAGAUGACACUCUAGCUGUCACAAAACACUGUACUAAUCUAAAAGUCUUUAUUGAGUUCACCAAAGAGUCCCUUUAACCAAAUAGCUUCUUUACAAGCCUCAGUAAUUGCCAUGGUCUUAGCUUCAAUAGUAGACAAGGCAACUGUAGUUUGCAAAGUGGCUUUCCAACUAACUGCGCAACCUUCAAUUAUAAAAACAUACCCUGUGAGAGAUCUUCUUUUAUCAAGGUCUCCAACAAAAUCAGAAUCAACAUAUCCAAUGACUCCAUCUCUAGUUCUUCCAAACUGCAAAAAAACAUCAGUAGUACCUCAUAAGUAUUUAAAAAUCCACUGAACUGCUUUUAGUGUUCUUUACUGGGAUUUACCUUGUAUCUACUAACUGCACUAACUGAAUAUGACAAAUCUAGACGUAAGCAAACCAUAGCAUACAUGAAAGAUCCCACUGCACUAGAAUAUAGAACACGUGACAUGUAGUCAAUCUUAUCAUUUAAUUGUGGAGAAAAAGUCAAUAAAAGUCUGAAGUGGGCUGCUAAUAGAGUACUAACAAACUUGGCAUUCUGCAUAUUGAAUCUGCAACUAACUUUCUCAAUGUACCAUUUCUGACUUAGGUACAAUUUACAUGAUUUUCUAUCUCUGAGAAUCUUCAUCCCAAGUACCUUCCUUGCUACUCACAAAUCUUUCAUCUCAAAUAAUCAAACCUCUUGUAUCAUUGUCUUGGUGACUGUUUCAAGUUAUAAAGGGAUUUUUUCAGCAAGCAAACAUAGUUCUCCUUAUUUGAGACUUGAAAACCCUCUAGUUGUUGUAUAUAAAUAUUUUUGUCAAGUUUUCAUUGCAAGAACGUUAUUUUUACAUCUAAUUGUUCAAGCUCCAUAUCAUACAUAGCUAAAGCAAGGCUCGAAUCAAAAUAUGCUUCACAACUAGAGAAAACACAUCUGUGAAGUCUACAACUGGAGUCUGAUUGUAACAUUUUACAAUAGUCUUGCUUUAUAUUUGGGUUCUUCAACUUUUAAAGUCCCCAUUUCUUUUUGAACACCCAUUUACAAUAAAUAACCUUUUUACCUUUAGGAAGCUUUACUAGAUCUCAUGUUCUAUUCUUAUAAAGUAAUUCCAUCUCUUUUUGCAUAGCAAUCAUCCACUUUCUUGAAUCUUCGCAGCUAAUUGCCUUAGAAUAAGUAGAUGACUCUUAAUUUACAUUUAUAUCUUCAGCCACAUUUAAAGCAUAAGCAACAAGAUCAACCUCAGUGUUCCUCUUUGGAGGUUUAAUUUUUCUUAUAUGUAUAUUCUUGGCAAUAGCAUAUUGUAUACUCUAUUGUAGAUCUUGGAUCAAUCUGAAGCUCCACCUACUUUUAUUGGUCUUUAUUGGAAGAGUCUUUAAAAGAUAAGUUAUGUAACAUACCAAUUUCAUAAAAAAAAUAACAUCUUUGCUAAUCACAACUUUUUUUUUAUUUUCAGGACACCAUAACUUAUACCCUUUAACACCAGCCUUAUAACCAAGAAAAACAAAUUUAAUGGAUCUAGGUUUCAAUUUCCCAUUAUCAACAUGAGCAUACGUAGGACACCCAAAAAUCUUCAAAUUAGAAUAAUCAACAGGAUUACUAGACCAUACCUCUUAUGGAGUCUUUUUCUCAAUGGCAAUAGACGGAGACUAAUUAAUCAAAAAGCAUGCAGUAGAGGUCGCUUUAGGCCAAAACGACUUCGAUAAACAAGAAUUCAACAACAUACAUUGAACCUUUUUCAAUAUUGUUCUAUUCAUCUGUUUUACAACGCCAUUUUGCUAUGGAGCAUGACGAACUGUCAAGUGUCUCACGAUCCUUUCUGAUUUGCACAAUUCAUUAAACUCAUCAUAACAGAAUUCCAAGUCAUUAUAUGUACGGAGGUGUUUUAUCUGUUCUCCUGCCUGUUUCUUGAUCAUAUUUUUCGAAGCCUUAAAAGAGGAAAACACAUCACUUUUCUGCUUAAAAAAGAAUACCCAAAAUUUUCUAGAAAAAUCAUUAAUGACCGUCAGCAUAUAAUUAGCGUCACACCUUGAAGGCACUCUUAAUGGUCCCCAAAGAUCAAAAUGAAUGUAAUCCAACAUUCCUUUUGUGUUAUGGAUUCCUCUAGUGAAUUGAACUUUCUUUUACUUCCUAAAAAUGCAGUGUUCACAAAAAUUCAGUUUGCAAAUGCCUUGUCCAUCAAGAAGUCCUAUUUUGCUUAAUUUUGUUAUGUUGUUCUCACUCAUAUGCCCUAAACGCAUAUGCUAAAGUCUAGUAAUAUCAUCAUCUGAUAAGGAAGAGGAAGCAACGGUUGCAUCACCAGUAACAAUAGAACAUUGCAAAACAUAAAACUUGAUAGUCUUUCUCUGCUCUUUCAUCGCAAUGAGGGAACCCUUGCUAAUCUUUAGAACCCCACUUUCAUUUGUGUACUUGUGCCCUUUUGAAUCAAGAAUACUCAAAUAAAUCAAAUGCAUCUUCAAUUCUAGUACUUGUCGUACACCACUAAGUGUUCUGACGAUUCCAUCGAACAUCUUAAUUUUGAUCAUGUCAAUACCUGUGAUUUUACAUGAAGUAUUAUUUCCCAUCAAAAUAACACCUUUAGACACUGUUUCAUAUAUUGUAAACCAAUCCCAAUUAGGACUCAUACGAAAGGUGUAACCAAAAUCGAAGAUCCACUCCUCGCUCGCUUUCGAGUUGUCGGUAGAAGCAACUAGGAGUUCACCAUCGCUAUAGUCUUCUACAACAUCAGCUUCACUGGAUUGUUCUGGUUGUUUUCCUUAUUGAUUCACAACCUCCCUUUUGAUCUUGUCUAUAACUUAUAGCACUAAGAUUUAAUGCGUCUUUUCUUCUUACAGAAGUUACAAGUUUUACAUCUGUUUGAAAAUAUCAAUCUACCUUUAGAUUUACUACGAGGAUUUCAUUCUUGUGUCCUUUCAUGAUUAUCAUCAAUAUUUCGUUCUUAUCUCCCAGAACAAUGAGACCCUCUCCUUGAGAGUAGGAUCCAACCACAAGGUGUUUCAUCUUGUCAUACGAGGUUAAAAAAGUAUAGACUUCAUCAACUGUGAGAGAUUCGUGACCAUACAAAAUUGUAUCUCUAAAGGUUGAAUAAGACAGGGGCAAUGAACAAAGUAGAAUUAACCCUAAAUCUUCUUUAUCAUACUGAACCUCUAUGGCCUCUAGGUCUACGAGAAUUUCUUUAAACAUAAUUAAGUGUUCGUAUACAUAUGCACCUUCCUCCAAACGAUGAGCAUAAAGACAUUAUUUCAUAUGCAACUUGCUAGUUUGGGUUUUCGACAUGAAAAGUUGCUGCAACUUUGCCCAUAUUGUAGUGGCGGUCUUCUCCUCAUCAUGUCCUAUAGAAUUGCAUUCAGUAAAUGCAAAUGUAAUUGCGUUAAAGCCUUUCGAUCUUUAUGCUUCUUCUCUUCCUCCGUCAAUGUCGAAAGCAUCUUACUCAUCCCUAUCAGGGCAUCCUCUAAAUCUAUCAACGCAAGAAUUGUCUGCAUCUUUAUCUGUCACAACGGGAAUCUAGUAUUGUGAUCCAACAACGGAAUAUCAUACUUCAGUGUUGCCAUUACCAUGAUCGAGAUAAGCAACCUGAAAAGCUUGAUACCAGUUUGUAAAAACUGAACGUCGAUAAUGGCAAUAUAGAACGAUCGUAAAGCAAAAAAAAUAUAAGAACGCACAGAUUUUACGCGAAAACCCUUUCAGAAAAAAAACCACGGGCAGAAGAGAAGAAAAUUCACUAAUGUUGAAAUUCGAGUGAUACAAGAAGAGUUUCAACUACUUCUAUUUAUAGGUUGAAAAGCAUUAUUCUAAUCAAUGUCAAAUAGAAGGAGAGAAGUUCUAUAUGGAUUCUACUUGUACAAUCAAUAUCAAAUAAAAGAAGAGUAGUUAUAUACGAAUUCUACUUGUAUUUUAUUUUUUAAUAGGAAUUUUGGUAACACAACUCUAACAGGCAAAGUAAGGGAUUUCAAGAGGAAGAAAUGUUUAGAUGAGUCUUUGUGAGUUGUUUGUAUGGCCUUUUUAUAAGAGGGGACAAAUUUGGAUACAUGUCCUAAGGUCACUGACAUAGAAGUCUGAUUUGAUACUCUUGGCAGUGACAGUGAUUCUACGUCCUAGGAUGAGACAUUUUAGGCUUACUAACAAUCAAUUACCUUGGGCCUCCACGUGGUUCUCAUAUAGUCUUAGUGAAGAUGUCCUUUUUUAAAGUUCGCCGAGUUGAGGCUCGCAAACUAAUAUGGAUGAACUGUGAGGUCCACAAGGUAUUUUGGGAGGUCCGCAAGAUUCGCUACAUAAGCUAUACUAAAAAAAAUUAUAUAUCAAAAUAUGAAACAAAAAAUUAUUGCCGACCUUCUUUAAGAAUUGCGUAAUUAUUUACAAAAGAAUAAAAAUAAUUAAUUUUUUUCUCAAAAAAAGAAUUUUUAGGAUUUGUUUGGUAAGGUUUGUUUCACAAAAUUCUGAAAAUUGUGUAAAAACAGAAAUUUCUAAGAUAAUGGAAAUAUAUUUUGUUGUUUAAUUAUUUUCUUAAAGAUCUAUAUUAAUUCUUUUCAGAUAAUACUAUUAACGUAAAUAUUAAAUGUUAAUUAUUAAAGUGUUUAUUGACAAAAAAAAUUGAUAUUUUAAUAUUAUCAUCAGGGGCGACGCGGGAGCUGACUAGCAAGUGAUUUGAUCUCUUUAAAGUGAAAAAUUGUAGGUUUGACCUUUUAAAUUUUAUAAAAUUAUAAGUUAAUACACGUUAAAAUUUUAUUUUGACCUUUUAAAAUGAUAAAUUUUUAAUUUAAUCUUUUAAAAAUUAUAAGGCUAAGAACUAAUAAAAUAAUAAAAUAAUAUUUUAAUUGUCAUAAAAAUUUAUAACUUAACUUAAUUUUAUCUCAUAUUUUAUGCAUUUUCUAUAAAUUUAAAGAGAUGAUGUAUGAAUAAAACAAUUUCAAGGUUAUUAUCAUCUUUCAAAGAAUACGGUAGGACUAAUAAAGAAAUUAUUAUUAUUAGUAGUAGUAGUAGUAGUAAAGGAAGAAUCUAAGUCUUCUUUACAUCAUGGCCGUAAUGGAAGCUUAAGAGUCAUAAAGAAAUGUUAGGUGAAGUUGCAUGUUGAUGUUGGCACAUAAAAAGUAAAAGUAGAUAAUAGAAAGUUACAUAUAUUGAAGUUGUAACAUUUCAGCCGAUUACAUGAAAUGAAAGGGCCGCCUUGUAAGACCCUUUCUUUUUAUUAUUCAUCCUCUAAACCCUAAUCUUUCAGUACCUCAACGAUCAACAACAAAAUCCAUGGCGGACAUAGCUCUGCAACUCUUUUUAUUACUUCCUACUUACGUUACCCUACAAAGAUCCCCCUGAUUUUGAUUGCAUUGGCUUCGGCUGGAGUUUAAGCAUCGGCCCUCCUCUCGGACUGUGAAGGAGUGAAGAAAAAGGUGUUUUUGUUGUUGAACUUAAUCCGCCUUGCAUCUUCUCUUGACACCUGAUACGACGCUGCCACCACUUCCUCCGGCAGUGCUCGCAUGAAGGAGACACUUCCAGCCAUUGGGGUGUUGGUGGCUUCGCUAUUGGUGAAGAAGGAAAUCCAUUCGGCUCCUUCGUUUCCUGCUUGUUUCAUGAACGCAAAGUUCUGUGGCACCGUCAGGAGCUGACCUUGCUCCACGUUAUCGUCGAACACUGCGUCGCCGUUGUGGUUCACCACUUGGACUCUGGCACAGCCUCUUAACAUGUAGAGUAUUUUGUGAGCGUUGACGUUCCAUUGUGGAAUCAAACCAGCUCUCUGCAAAAACAAAUGUUACAUACAGUGUUAUAUAUGAUUCAAUAUUUUAUUGAAUAUUGUUAAGAAAUAAAUGUCUCGAGCUUACGUUGUAGAGGACACCCCUCUCGGCGCUGAGCUCAAGUCGUUGGAGGAUGGGGAGGUUAAACCUGUUGAGGGUGGAAAUACGACCGGCUUGUGGGUUGAAAAUGUCGGCACGUUCAGGGUCAGCAAGGUUCUCCUUGAUCCUCAUGGAGCAGAAAGUUUCCUCGAGGCCAUUAUCUUGAGACCCUCCUCUCGUAUGGCGGUAUCGCUGCUCCUGCUGGCGCUCCUCACGUUCUUCUUCCUCCAUUCUGGGUGGUGUUACGACUUGGAGUCUGUCCCUGACUCUGAUGAUGGUGCCUCUAUUUCCUCGUACACGUUGGAUUUUCCUAAUGAUGUCGUGGUCAACGUUGAAAGCUUGAGCGAGGAAGUUUCUGUCGAAGGCACAGAGAAGGUUGUUGCAUGAUGAGCUUUCCCGCCCCUGCUCCUCCUCCUCCUGGUGGCGGCUGCGGCGGCUGGGGUUGUCUUCUUCUUCUUCUUCUCCUUCUCCUUCUUCUUCCUCAGACUCCUCCCCCCUCUCACUUCUUCCCUGCAUCUGCUGUGCUAGCCUCCUCAGUUGCCUCUGUUCCUCUUCUGGGUUACCAGCAAGAUGGAAUCUCUAUAACAUUACAAGAGAGAGAUCAUCAAAAACAAAAACAAAAAGUUAUGUAUAGAAAGGGAUUGUCAAAAUUAUAAAAAAUUAUAUACUCUAGGGAUGUUGUCGAGCUGAUUAGCACUGUUGCCAGUGUCAAGUAGAUUGAUAGUAACAACACGCUCAUUGCCAUCAUUGUAGCUCCAGUGAACCACACCCUGCGGCAAAGCAAUGAUGUCACCCUGGCGGAACCGUCGGACUUUCUGGUGCUGGUCCUGGAACCUGCCACGGCUUUGAUGCUGCCAUUGCUGUGAAUCCUGGAAUGUUUCGGCACAUCCAGGCAUCACAAUACCUUGAAUACCUCUUCCUGAAAAAACAAAUUUAAACAUCAUUUUGUAUUUUAUACCAACGAUAAUAACACCAUUAGUGACGCACUAUUAUACCUUGGACAAUGUAGAGAAGCUGAGGAGCAUUGGUGAAGGAAGGCAAAACAAGGCCAUUAGGUUCAAUAGUCUGCCUCAUUACAGAUACACCAGCACACCUGAGCUGUUGACAGUUGGGGUUCCACCACUCGGUGGUGCCGGCUUCGGAGCGAAUUCGGGUCUGGGGUGCAGAGGCGCGGAGCCUAUUGAUUUGACACUCAUUUUGGGACUGCUGUGACGAAAAGGUCUGGCGAGCUAGGCAGCCAUUGAAGAGAAAAAGAAGGGAAAGAAAGAGCAAAGAAGGGUUAAUCGCCAUAUCUACGUGUUGAAAUGGUUAUUUGGUGAAGAAGGGAGUGGAGGGAUAGUGGUAUUUAUAGGGGAGAAAGAGUGGAAAAGGAGGUCAGGGUUGUGUCGACACACAGCAGUUUGCAUGGGGGAGUUGAGGUUAAUGGCUUACACAUCAUAGACUGGGGGAGGGCAGGUGGCUCAAAGCUUCGAUGAAUACUUACAAAUAACAAUACCAGGAAAUGAAGAAGAAUCCGAAACCACGAUAUGUCGCCAGAUGAGAUUGGUUAAGGAGAGAGUCUUGAAUUUUGGUUACACUAAUCAAACCAAAAUGAUUCAUCAAUUUAUUAAUUAAGCGUUCAAGAGUUCUUUAAAACAUGAUUCAUUAUAUUAUGAUUUUAUUUAAAUUUCCAUUUUCGUUUAAAAAACAUUAAUUGAUUUUAUUGUUAAAAAUAUAUAUUUCUCCUCGUUAACUUGUACUUACUACAUAUAUUAAGAGUUUAAAUGAGAUCAUUUUAGUCUCACCAAAAAUCCAUUCAUUUCACAAAACAAUAAAUUUUAUUUUUACAGUAUUUAUAUAUUUUUAUAUUUUAAUUUGACCCUAAAUAUCAUUAAAUUAUAUUUAAUUUUUAACUUUUUACUAAUCUACAAUAAUAUAAAAAAGUGUCAAAAUUAUUUUAAUAACAACUAAAAAGGGUAAGGAGAGUGAAAAUGUGGUGUGGAGGCAGGACGUGAAGAACCUACGCAGGGAAUUACUUGUUUGUUUGUGAACUGUGAUGGUGUUGCGACAACUGGGCCGUAGCAUGUUAUACCUCUUGCCAUCUGUUUAAGCCAAGUUGUACUACAUUCUAUACGGUCGUACAUUAUUCCGAUAAUUGCAAUUUUUACGAUAUAAAAUAUAACUGAUGAGAACAAAAAUAAGUCAAACAACUAUAGUAGUGGUGGAAAGGGUAAUUUUAGAAUUCUAUUUUUUUGAUAUUCAAGUCCGUAAAUAUUAUUGUUUAAUAUAUAUGAGGUUAAUAUAAAAGUUAAUUAAAUUUUGGUAUCUUAAUUUUAUCAAAUUAAUAGUUAAUUAGGAUACAAAAAUUAAAUUGUAAAAAUUCAUUGUUAUAAAUUUUUAAUUAAUCAAAACACCAAUUGAGCAAUUGAACUACUAUUAUAUGACCAAACGGUGGUAGAUUCUAAGUGUUAUCCACUAAGAAAUGUUAAUUAUGCUUAAGGUUCAUUAAUUUAAAGUUAAUUUUAAUUAAUUAAUUAAUUAAGUGCACAAAAUGAAUGCAUUGAAGUGUAAGCUUAAAAUAGGUAUCAAAUGGCCUAAAAUGUACCAAAAAUAGAGUCCACAUUGCGACUUCAGCAAUGGAGCUCUGGAUUUCAGACCACGACGUGAUGAGGAACAUCGUCGUCACAACGAUGCCAAGUUAGUAUGUAACGUCGCGACGAGGAACCCCCUCAUGUCGCGACGUCAAUCCAAAAUUUUUAAAACUUUUACAAAUCGUUUCUUGUUUGAUUCCAGGCUAAUUUUAGAGCAUACGUAAGCUUGUACAAGACCCGAGAAAAGUUGUAUAUCAUGUUUAUGGCUUGAAAAUGUUAUGUUUGUAUGCAUUAAGCUGUGAAUUGAAAGUUAAAUGUUUGUAGUUGCUUCGACAAUGAAUGUGACAUCCUAUAGCUCGGAUCCAGUGAUCAGGUCGGAUGAGGUGUGUUACAAUUUGUUACUAUUUUUUAACUCUAUCAUUGUUCAUAUUCUUCUUCCUUAACCCAUUUUUUUCUCCACAUCACCCUGCUUCCCAAAUUGAGUAACUCUACUUAAAUGAAUUGAGGAAUAGAUUUAGCGAAUAUUUUGUGAAGCAGGAGUGUGGGAGGGUGGCGUGGAGAAGAAAAAAGAUUAAAUGCUAAAUUGGGAUCUAACUUUUUAAGGGUUGCUUAAAUAAAUGCCAAACCUUUUAACUAUUCAUAUAAGGCAUAAUCAUUAAAAAGUGCUCAAAUAAAGGUUUUCCAUGCACUUCAGUCUUGUUUGUAGUAAAAAUUAGGUGAAUGCUGACAUGUUUAAAAUAAAACACAUUACAACUGAAUUUGAUAUUGCUUGAAAAGAAAAUAAAAUAAUAAAAACAUCAACUGAAACCUAAUAUACGACAUUUGAGAAGUCCUUAUUUAAGCACUUUCGAAAAAAUUUGGCCUUUAUUUGAUUGUUUUGAAAGGUUUAACCUUCAUUUGGACGCUUUUUGUAAAUGUUAGGUCCUUAUAUAAGCAAUGUCUAAAAGGUUGGGCCCCAAUUUUAGCAAAAAAAAAAGGGUUAAGGAAGAGCAGGAUGAACAGUGGCAGGGUUAGAAUAGUAAAAAAUGAUGGCAUGGGCACAAUCAAUCGUUUUUAGAGGUUUCUUGGGUGAUUAAAAUGAAAGUACUCUCUAAUGGUGGUGAUUAAAUUGCAAGAAUUUUUAUUUAGGUGACAAAAAUAAAAGUGGCCUAAAAGUUGAGUUAUCAGCUAAGUAGUUUACCCUAAAUUUUAAAAAAAAAUUAACUUUUUGAAUAAUUUAUGUAUUAUAUAUGUUUUCUUUAUUUUCCAAUCAAUAUAAUAUACAUAAUAUUAAAAUUAAAAAAAAAACUGAUGCGGGGCAUUUUGAUAGUGUCACAUGUCAUCUUCUUUUUUCUUUCUAAUGUUGUAGGCCAAUUUAAGUAAUAGAUGAUGGUUUGAGUAUUAAAGAAAGCCCAAAAAAAAUUUAAAUAUUAAAAUGAGAAAAUAAAUAUAAUAGACGAAAGGAUGCAUUAAACAUUUUAAUAUAUUUUAUUAUGUUAUUUCCUCACGUUUUAAAUUAUUUUUAUUAUCCCCGUGAAUAGUUAGUUUUACCUAUCUAACCUUUUUUUUAGAUUUAAAAAUAAUAAUAAUUUAUUUAUUUUAAAUAUUAUUAUUUUUUAAAAAGUUUACAACUAAAAAUAAAAUUAAUCAUAAUUCAAUCACAAAUAUAUGCAAAAUCAAACAAUAAAAAACAUAAAAAGACUAGGAAUCAAAAUAAUUCGAACUAAAAUUAACCCUCUAAAUUAAAACUUACACAUAUUAAAAUUAAAGACCUACAAAUAAUAUUACUUGAAUUUAGAUACUCAAAUAUCUAAAACCUAGUCUUUGCGAAUGGUACUAAAGCUUCACAAUUAUUAUUAUUUAAAAUAAAAAUUGUAAAUAUGUUUUAAUAUAUAUAUAUAUAAUUAAUUAAUUAAUGUUUGAUGUAAAGUACAGAAAUCUAAGUUAUUUAUUAUUAUUGAAAGUGAAAAGGUCAAAUUACACUGGAAUCAAAAUUUAACUUUUGGAAUUUAAAUUAAAAUAGAUACCGUCCACGGUGGGACUCGAACCCACAAUCUCCCGCUCCGGAGGCGAGCGCCUUAUCCAUUAGGCCACGCGAAACCUUGUUCUAUGAGGGUUGAAUUUAUUAUUUAAAAUAAUAAACAUUGCGUAUACGUAUAUUUGUCAAGGUAAUCAGGUUUAGAUUCCAUAUUAGCCCUAUUAAGAUACGAGGUUGAAAUAUAACUAAAAAAUAUAUUUUUAUUAAAGAGUCACUUUCGAACAAUGUGCAUGUAUCUCAAUAACUACUAUUUAUGAAAUUUAAAAACUCAUUAUCAAUACUUUAUGAUUUUAAAGGGAUAGAAUUAUAAUGUAAAAGGGGAGAAUCUCAAUUAUUAAUGCACUUCCAAGAGGAAAAUCAUUGAAUUAUAAUGUACUUGGGACUUUUAUUUUUUGUUUGGUUGUCAUCAUUGCAGUGUUAGUUGAUUUCUAGUUAAAUAUCCAAUUAAACUAUACAACUUGACAGUACAAAGCAAUGAGGACUGCAAACAAAUACAUGUAAUUAUGUUAUCCAGAUUUACCAUCUUCUUUAAAAUAUAUAUAUAUAUAUAUAUAAACCCUCUAAAAAGGAAUUUUAAGGACUUGAUUGUUAAAAUAUUCAAUAACUUUUCAUGUAUAAUCCCAAAAUUGUUUAAAUCUCUAAGACAAAAGGGUUUACACCAUUUCUUUCCCAUAGAAGAGAGGUUGAUGCUAAUGUAUAAAGAUCAAUGUAGCAUCUUUUACAAGAUAUAUUUCAAAUUCUGAAUACAUGUCUACCCAUGUUUGAUUUAAUACUCCAUGAACAAAUCUGAAGCUGAACUGGUGGAUGAAUACCAUCUGUAAGUUCUAUAGGAAUUCAUAGUCUUCUGUUGUCUACACCGAUAUAAUGGUUUGUUUAUUGUUCUCCAGCCUCUGGGAUUAAAAAGUUUAACAGAAAAGAAUUGGCUAAAAAUGUGUUGUAUGAAUUGCAAAGGUGAGACUAUUUGGUAUUGAUGUUACCCUGUAAAGCUAAGAAGGACCCAAGGAAGAACUCUGCAUGAUAUAUGAAAGAAUGUCAGGACACCAACCGAAAAAAUAAAUUUGUUGGAGAUGCAGCUCCUUGAUUUGUUUGUAAUGCCCGCUAAUGUCAGAACAAGCUUAUGGGGUUACAGAUGAACACCUGGGGCAACAAAAAUUAAAAGAUAAGAUUCAACAGCAGAAUCGAUAACUAAUAAAGAUCACCACCCAUUUCCCAAAUUGCUAUGUAAUUUAAUACUCGAGUUUUCAAUGAGCGUAACAGAAGAACUGAAGAUAUUUAGAUACAGAAUUUUCACAAAAAAUGAGGCAGAAUGAUGUCAUGUGAUAACACAAGGGAAUAUGCAAAUUUAUGUUACGUUGAUUCGGGUGUUUGUGUCAAAUACAAGCAUGUGCUUGGUAUGUGUAUGUUUUAAUUCUUUCAUUUAUUUGGAAGGUCCUAAGAUCAUAUUCCUAUAUUUAUGUUUGAAUAUGUGUUAGGCACAAAUACUUUAAAAGAAUGAAGAACCAGAGUAUGAUAUACAGUGCAAAAAGACAGAUACGAUAGUCACUGCAUCUGGGGAUUCCAUGACUCUGUAUGUUUACUUCUUUAUGUGGCUUUUGGAAUAAGAAACUACACUAAUAAAGUUAUCAACAAUUUGAAACAAAAAAUGUAUAUAUGAGAACAUUGAAUAACCAGCAUGUUUCAACCUUUCAUUUGAACUUAUAUGAUAAUGAUAAAGCAAAUCACUUUUGUAUGCCAACUCUAAAUCAAGUGCACAGUAGAGUAAUAUUAACAAAGUUAUCAAACUGUGGAUCCAAAUUUUCCUCAACAGGAAGCAUGUGAACUUGAGCUGAAGGCAAAAAUAUAGCAAUAAAGGUGACCGAGUCAAAGCACAUCAUAAAGAAUUAGUACUGUCAAAGAGGGAACUAUAGCAAUAUAGGAGAGCAUCAGUUAGUAGUAAAAAUAGUAGAACUGAAGCGGUGAAUCUGUUUGUAUUUCCUGAUUCUGCCAUUUGCAAUUUAUUAUCAAGCCUAGAGACCAAUUUACGUUUUAGUUAGAUGGAGAAGAAACAAGAGAUUAGCCUACCUUUAUUCUAUACAUAAUGCAGGAGUGCAUCGGCUGAAGAAUUCCUUAACCUACAGCUCUGUCCCAAAUGAACAUCACCAAAGACAUACCUACAUCACCAUAUAUCAGUGGAAAUCGUAAUAUAACUUGGGAACAGGAGGAAGAGCCAAAAAUAAAAUAAAAAACGGAACCUGUAUUCACAGUAUUCAGGCCAUGCACAUCGAGCUUUUCCGUAGUCCCAGUAACAGUCAUCAUCCCUCAAGGGCCCUCGCUUUGCUAUCAGCAUUGUUAUAAUGAGUAAAACUCAAAUUAAUCUUUGAGAAAAGUAAAACAGUAAACCAUGUUUUACCUUUUGUAACAAAUUUGGAUGGUGAAUCAGCAUGAAUAUCAUGCCAAAUCUGGAGCCAUAACUCUCGCAUUAGAGCUGGUGAUCUAACGAUGUUCCUGUGAUUUGCUACAUGAAGAUGAUAUCAGUUUUACCCACUUGUAAUGAUAAGAAGGCUGAUGUCAAAGAACAUUAGUUAGCAUUGUUAACUCAAUUUUCUUGUAAAAGAAAAUAAGGAAAAAUUGAAAGAGUGCAACUUAAUAUGGAGAACACAUUAGUUAGAAAUGGUUUAAAUAACGCUCCUCAACAUAGAGAUACGGAGAAUGCAAAGUAAACAAGCUAAGCAGCUAAACCAUGAAUGAUAGACAAGCUUUUGAAUUAUUUGAUUGUCCUUUAGCAAGAAUCUGAAAGAGGAGCUCCCCAAUUAACAUCACUCUGAUUUUUAUAGAUUAUGCUGGAAGUAAAUCAGCUGAAAGAAAUUUAUCCAAAACCAUAGAGAACCACUUUCAUUAAAAUCCCUAACUGGAUAACAGCACAUAAUCACAACAACCAUAAUGCCGGGCUAUUUAAGAUUCUUAAAAAGCAUAGUAGCAAUGCAAUUAAGUUCAACAUGAUUUGAAAUCGUACUACUAUAUAAGCCAUUUACUGAGAAAAGAAUUAAAAGGUAUUGUCACCCACCUUUAUCAAGCUCCCAAACUGCUGUCCUCUUUCCUGGAAUGCUUUCCGAGUCUUCAUAGUAAGUUAUGUAUUUGACUCUAGGUGACCUUGUCAUGUUGGGGACUACAUCUUCAUUAUGAUGCUCAACAUUCAACUCCACUUGUACAUCUGACCCAUCAUGCUCCGACUACAAUAUACAUGAGAAAGUUUUACUAUUUCAAACUCCCAAUAGUUAUGUCAUAUUUCAGAUAUGGAUUACAAAACCAUAGCAGACAUACUCCUUUUUAUUAUAUCAGAUGGAUAGUGUUCAUAUGUUUUACCUAUUUGCUGCACGAAUGAAAUACUCUAUUUUAUUAUAUAAAGGGAUUGAGAGAAACAUGCAACAAACUAUGUUAUACAGCUCAUAAAUCAAAUAGCUCAUCAAACUAACCACAAAAAAGAAAAAAAAGCAAUCUGAUAUAUGUGAUGUGUUAAAUAUCCAGAAGAUUGAAAGCUUUUCAAUAUCAUCAUCAUAAUAAACAUAUCAAGGCACUUGCAUUUGACCAAGAAUACCUGUGGAGCUCUUGUUAUGUUCACUCUGGGCCCAAGCCAGUUCUUGCACCAAGAUAGGGAAUGAUAUGGUACCUGUCACAAUUAUGUAAGUGUUAGACCAGUAACUAUAAAACUCAGAUCAGUGAUUGUAAUCCAGUAACAAAGAUUCUUGAUGCAUUUGAAGAAUGAAAUAGAAUGAUAUAAGGGUCACUGAGCUCACUGUCUCAUCACCACUUGCAGGUCCUGGAUUUCCUUCAACCUGAUUCCCUGACCUACAAGAACAAGUGCUACGCUAUUUAAAAGUAGAAUCUAAUGAGAUCAAAUCAUCUUUCAAUAUUUAUUACUGCAGCCACUGCUUUACCUCGUUUACAACAAAUAAUAGUUACUGUUAGAGCUGUUUUAGUUCUAAACAUAGGGAAGAGAUAUGAUUUAGGCAUAAAUGCAGUUAAACAGAUUAACUGAUCCAGUGUGGAUGAUGCUUACCGCGAGACCAGUGAUCCUUCAAUUUCAUAGAUGACAUCAGUAAUUAUCCAAUUAUCAGGGUAAGGUUUGCCGCUUGGUGCAAAAUAAUAACCAACCUGCUCGCAUUAUCAUUCAACACGAUAUCAUCAUAAAAAUUAACCACAAUGAGUAAUAGAAAAGCAAUAACGAUGUGUAACAACUAUAGUGCUAUUCCCAUUUUGUCAGUUAUUCAAACAGCUCUUAAGGGGUUCCUAAUGCAUGACAAUAGUCUCAAACAUGAACAAGAUAAUUAGAAUUUAUAUUCAAAAUUUAACCAUACCUCAGUCCUAGAAUCUACUCCAUAGAUACAGAAAACAUUCUUAAUAGGUGGUCUAUCCCAUGGUGUAAGAGGAUUCAGAACAGGAUCAUCAUGAUAUGACCUGAAAAAUACAACAUAGAAAUAAAGCCAAGUCAAAAUAAAGAAGUCUAAGUUACAUGGUUUGUAUUAAUUAAACUUCCAGGAAAAUCAUUAUUCAAACCAAUAGAAGAAAGUACUAUGAUAAAUUACAAUUAAAAAUAGAAAUUUCAGUUUGUCAAGUAUCAGCCAACAAUGAGAAACAACCACAGACUCUGAAAGAAAACAUGUUGAAAGCAUCUUGACUGGUCUUCAGUGCAAGCAGAUGGGAAUUGAUGAAAGUCCAUUUAACAUUAAUAACUUAUGACAACUGUCAAGCCUGCUUAUGUGAUAGUUCCAUGAAAAAACCACAAUCAUCGCAUCUCCAUAUAAUUUUAAUUAGUACACGUGAUUCAUGUUCAAGAUGAAAUCACUUAGUAUUAGUAUGUCAACAAUCGACAAACAUUAAGAAGAUAUCAGAGUCAGAGAUUGUUAAAUUAUUUGAAAGUAUCAUAGCUAGUAUAAAAUACAUUUAAACCAUGCCUAAACACUUCUUCUGUAGCUCCACAUGAUCUUUUAAAGCAAAAAUGCAGCUCAAGACUCUCAAUAACGAGAUUUGGGAUGAAAAGCCACUUCAUAUAUCAAAACUAGCACCUACAACAUGGGACUGCAUGCAUGAUACACUAGGUGCCAUUUAAGUAAAAUUUAUGCUGAAAGAAGAUUUAAGACCCGACAACUAGAGUUAUAAGGCUUCUAUUAUGAAAUGUUCACCACAGGCAAUAAAGUUGACAGACAUCAUUCUUAUAAUCAAUUACGUCUAUAUCACCAAAUAAUGACCUAGAAAAAGGUAAAUCAUAAUUUUCUCAAAUGGCAUAAAGUUGUGAGAAUACCCACUUCUUCAGUUGGUGCAAGGUCCUCUUGCUAUCUGAAUCAUAGUCCUCUAUUGCUUUGAAAAAGGUCCCAUCUGAUAUUUCACGAGCUGAAAAUGACAACUGUGUUGGGAGUCCACAUUCCAUGCUAGAGUAGUUGGUCUGGGAAAACUCUGAAACUGAUGGAUAGGCGUCAAUCCCUGUUAAUAAAAGAGAUUGCUGUGAGCUUUAUAGCAAUUAACUACAUGUCAUAAAAACAAAUAAAUAAAUAAAAGAAUAAUUUAUUCCAAAGCCUUACCACGGGUUGAAGGUAUUUCAAUGUUGAUUAUAUUAGUUGAAAAACCAGAGUAAUUUGACUGAAAUUCCUUUUGCUCACAUUGAUAGGCAUUAGGCCCCUUCCUGAUUCCCCCAGAAAAAUGCUUCAAAUACAUGGCGUCUGCCCUACAAUACUUUGAAAAUGGCAUCAUCCAUAAUGAAGAACCAAAUGAAUUGAACAUCAACCGAGCAGUUCCCUGAUACCUUGCCAAAAUAUAAAGUAAAUAUAUGUUAAAAAUGCACCAUUAUAUAACAAAUAUUUUUAAUUCCUACAUUUUAGGGAGCAAUGGCAGUCAGUAACAGCAGUAAAUUGAUAUAGAUUCCAUCCCAGUAGUGCAACUUAAUGUGAUUCAAUCGAGUUGAGUUAUACAAAAUUGAGGACAUCAGGGCUUACAAAGAAAUUAAGGAAUUCUGUUGCCAAUUUGCUAUUCCUACAUGUGCUGUAAGGAACAUCAAUAACUUAACUGUUCAGCAUAAAUGUUUUUAACAUCUUGAAUUUUCUCUGGUACUAUUGAAUCAAAGUUUUUCAUAUUGCAUUACUAGACCUGUUUCAUGGAAUCAUGGGAAAUCUUCGGGUAGUUUUAAGACUUCAACAGCAUGUAUCCCAUUGGAAAUCUAUUAUGUUUUCUACAAAAGCUGCCUACAAUUACCUAUCAUUGAAUGUGACAGCAGAUUAAUUUGUUACAAGGUUCUACCAUAAGUUUAAUCUUCAUAUGCUAUUUCCAUAAAGGGGACUAGUUUCAAAAAGCUGUAUGAUAUACUCCAGAGCCAAAAAUCAAGA
rnacentral:lncRNA from 1 species